CCAGAUCACCUAGACAUCUAAUAACCUUCAUUGAAUCCACCAACUAAAUUAUGCUCAAACUUAACACACCAUCAAAACCAACGGUUCAGAUAGCUGAAUAACUAAUUACUCAAUCAAUUUCAAUGAACAUUAUUAUUUAGAUCAUUUUCAUCCCUCUCUCUCCUCUUCUCACUCCCCUCGACCCAGCCUUUUCCUUGCCUCGCGCCACUGCCACCGACUUCUUCCCUCCUCGAAAUCGUACCAUUAGUACUAGUACGUUCUAUAUGCUAGUUUUAGGGCCCGUUUGGCACAGCUCCAGCUCCUGAUUCUAAGCGAGGAUCUGGAGGAGCCGUGCCAAACGGGUAUUUUUAAACUGAUUCUCGUGUGGAGCCGAAAGAUUGAGAGUCGUUUUUGUGAAGAAAUGUGGGAUCUAAAAAAACCUGCUCCACCCUCCCUUAAAACAGCUCCUCAACCAACCAAAUAUGGACUCCCCCUUAAAGUUUGAUCGAAAUUACCCGCAAUUGCCAUUGGACAAAAACAUAACGAGCCAAUUUAUGGAUUAAACAUUUGAGACUAUUUUAUGCACUACUAUGAUGGGAAUAUUUUAUAUGUUAUUGUUUCAUAAUUUUUUUUCCGUAUAUGCAUCCUACUUAUUGGUUUGCAAAAUUGAACUGCAAAGGGUAAAACAGACAAUCGCGCAGACCACCAACUCUCAGCAGACAAGAAUCAGUUUACUUGCCAAACAGUUUUAAAAAUGAUUCUGAUUCUCUAGGAGGAUCAGGAUCUAGAGCUAAAGAAGUAGGAGUUGGAGCUUUGCCAAACAUGCCCUUAGUUGAAGGCGAGGUGUGAGAUGACGGGAGAUUAAUUGCACGUGACAUUUCUUGUUCUCAUCUCUUUAAUCGAAUAAGGAGCAGUAGCGCAUGUGAGCCCCUGCCUGCCAUGCAUACGUGACUCGCUCACGCAUCACUCGCACAGUCGACUUUCUUAUUUAUUUCGCCUCACGGGGUGGAUGGGCUUGGGCUGCUCCCCAUUCAUUCAUGCAUAACAAAAGGGAAACAUUUAAUUUGCGUGUAUAUUCAUAAUAAAGCCAAGCAGAGCUAGCAGGGUUCCGCGAUCGCAAACGCGCGCUCGUAUAGUUCUCGUAUCAAAAGACAGCUUCUUUAAUUUGUGUCGAAACAACUAACGGUGGCUUUUGAAUGGGUUCUUUUACAAACUGGAACUGUUUGAUUCUCUUUCCACCAUUAGAAUCAGAACUCGGGCAAAGAACGAGACACAGUAGAUCGAGAGGUCCAAACAACACGUCAUUAUAAAUUUAUAACCGAGGUUUUUUUAUAGUAUAUCUACAUCAUGUUUACUUAGGGGUGGUAAUGGAUCGUGAUCUAAAUAGUUCUUCACAAAAUGUCAAGGCCCUAAAUAAAUUAUAGUUCAAAAAUGACUAGAAAUAAAGUCCGAUCCUAACCCGCUUCGAUCCUUAAAUCUUAUAGUGCAAAAAUUAUAGCCCAUUGUCAGCCCUAUGUUUACUUGGCUUUAAUCCGUACCAGUUUCAGUAUUUUCAUCUCUGUAGCUUACAGCUGCAGUGCCUUUAAUCUGAAGGCAUAUAUGUCGAUCGGUGCAUCAGAGAGAUGUUUUCAGGAGGAAGUUGGAGUAUUUUUUUUUUGUUUUAAUAAAAAAGGACCCUCGAUCUAGUACGGACAAGACAACUAACAGGUGAGAGCUAGAGCUUGGUUAUGCGUGGUCCUUUAUCUAACUAUUAGUACUAUUAUUGUUGUUGUCUCGUACUAGGUAGCGAACUUUGCAGGCUAAACAUAAUGAAACUACCUGUGCUACCUCUCUGGCGUUUACUAGCUUCCAGAUGUUUCUGGAGCUCAUAGAAGCGCAGAACAGGUGGAAUUCAGGAAGAUUGUCCCUACGUUAGCUAUAAUGGAAUUGCUGAUUACCGUAAGACUAUGAUGAAAUUACAUUUCAGUCAACAAACAAACAAACAAAACAAAACAAAAAAAAGUCUAAAUGUCACCAUAAAUAUCCUUGGACGACCUAACUUAGGAUGCACAGAAAUGCCAUGGCCAUAACUCUGAACUGAACAGGAGCUGAUCGAUUCCCUUGUGCGUCCCUUACCUCCUAACCUGAGUACGUACGAGCUCAGCUGACUGAAACAGCUGAUUAACAGGCUGGUCACAGCUAAGACGACAGUGACAGCCCAGCCCAUCCUCAUCGUCUUCCAGUUUUCGCUGCCUCGACUGACACGUGGUCGCUGAUCCCGUGCGUCGUUUCGUCUUCCAAGUUGCAUGGCAGCUGAUCGAUGAAUGUGCCAAUGCAAAAGCAGCUAGUUAGUUGAGCUUCGGCGACCGACUGACAGCAACGGCCUCCAUUGACCAGUCAUUAGCCUGUCGCUAAUGGCAAAUUGAAUUGGAGCAACUUCAGCAGUACCGCCUUUAAGAUAAGGUCUUUAUUUAUCUUUCGCGAUAUGUUUGGUUGCGGGCUGAGAACAGACACGUUCCCUUGACAUUCUCUCUCGUUCCUCCAAAUUUGAGAAACAACUAGAGACAACACUGAAAUAGUCCUGUACUAUCUCUUAUUGGAAAAUUAAUAAUAACCUAAGAUUAACUUGAUAAUGCAGCAUAAAAUGAAAAACUCAGAUUUACGGGUAGAUAAUAUCCACGACAUUAAGAAAUAAAACAUAUCUGAACUAACUCAACAAUAUUAACGAAUAAAAUAAUAAUCGACAACGGAUCUAACCAUAAGAGCGUCAUUGCAACAAACUAAAACUGCAGGUUUACUCACAGUGAUUUCCACGAGUUUUGUAGAGGAACCUGAGCGGACGUGUGCGAAGCAUUUCCUAGAAACAUGAUUCGCCGACACCCAUACAGGUCGUCAAAACGUCGACGGUGAUUCGGAGACAACACUCUCCCUUAAUCUGUUGCACGGCAGACGAAUGAACGUCAGGGCAGAGAAGCGAGGCGCAGAGAAUUGAGAAGAAGAGGACGGGUCGGUUGCUAUUGGCCCGAAUCCUCCGACUGAAUGAUGUCUGCCCUUUAUAGAUGGGCCGCCGCAACUCCUUGAUUCGAUCUGCUAAAUUGCAGGAACCGCUCCCUGGAAUAUCUCUACGUGCAACCCCCGGAGAUCUCGCACGUAACGUGCGUGACCAUUACUCCUGGCUUAUGUGACAGUCUAGGUGUGAUAUUUGAUAACCAAAUAAACAAAAGGCAAAAAUUAAACUGCCGUUUAGAACACGUCACGUCACAAAGCGAUCGCGCAUCGUCGCAAGUCACGCGAUAAAUAACGCGAAAAAGGUGAAACGCGAGCGAGCGCACGUGUGUGGCAGCCUCCAUAGCCCUUUAUUUGUCUCAUGUGAAGAGUAGUAAACACUCCCCACAUAUGAGCUGGUUCUCUCCUAUCUAGAUGGACGAUAUGAGACUAAAGUCUCAUGUCAUAUGUACACACCACCAUAGCUUUCUUAUUUAUUUAGGUCACAUAGUAGUGGACCUAAUUCCAACACCCCUGACAUCCUGAACCAAAUAACCUUAUUUAAGGGAUCGUCAUAUCUCGUACCGUUCUGUCGUUACAAUAAAACACACCAUAAGAUAACGUGAAUCACAUGCACACAGAGACAGAACAAUACAGUUUACGUUCACGCGUCAUGCAUGUUAUCCUAAUGAAGAUCAUAAACCGUGUACUGAAAUCUGUAGACAGUUUAUUGGGCACAGUACAUGAAAAUGGUGCUAACAAACAGAGGCAGAGCUGGUUACUGUAGGCCUGCAGCCAGUUUGGCAGAGAAAGUUGGUCUGGCUGCAUCCAGAAGAAGGCGGUAUAACUAGAUAAAGAUCGAGGUGCUAAUGAGUUUUAAAUUUUAUGCUACAAAAUUUAUGGAUCAGAUUGGAUUAUGGUUGUUAGAUAAGAUUAUGCGACUCUAUCUCUAUCUACUUUGCCUAUAUAAAUAGAUCAUCUUGUACUCUGUACUACAUACCAUAUAAUAGAUAUGUUUUCCUGUUGUUUUUUCUUCUCCAUAUUGGGGAAGUUUUUUUCACGUUAAACUUUAUCUCUUUUUUUACACCUACGAUCCUAACAAGGGUUUGAGCGAGGAAGUCAAGAGUGGCCCUAGCCGGUUUCAGUGAUCCGGUCUUGCCAGGUUAAAUUACUGAUCUAGCCAACUCCCAGCACAAUUUUGCGUGUCAACAUAAGACAUUAUCAGCGCCAAUAUAGAAGAGGAUGUUCCAUAGUUGCUAAUAAAUCCGGUGAUGGCGAAAACGCAGCCAAGGAUGAUGUUUCGUUUCUUCUAAAUCUAAUCAAGCCAAGAAUCAAACAUGUGUGCUUUGGCCAAAUUAGUCAGCGGAUCCAAAUAUACGUGCGUACGACGCUGACGGGAAACUCAAGUCAGAAAAACGCAGCGCGCCAUUAAUUUGCAUACGAAUACUAUGUAAGACACCGUGGUUGACGGGUUCGGAUCGAUCGAACUAGUAACACAGCCAGCAUGGAGAUCUCGGCGAGGCCAAAGACGACCAGCUCUGUUUAGUUAUUAAUUCUUUCAUAUUUAAUUCAAUCUAAAAACACUAUAGCACAUCUAUGUAUGUCACAUACGUAUAGGUGUAAAAUAUUAUUACUACUCGCAAUAAUAACAAACACACGUACUUACAAGUAUAGUGAUUAUAGCAGAAACUAUAAAGAUCUUAACAAAUUUAGAGAAGAAAUUAUACUUUACGGAGGGAUCUAUGCUCAGACACUAGCCGCUUCGUCGACAUGCAUCAUGUGUUGCUCAUUGGUCAACGGACCAUAAUCGAUGUAGGCAGAUAUUUGUAAAAACCAUCCCACGGGUGUCGCCACGAGGGAGAGAAGACGAUCCUUCGAUAAGAAAACAAGCAGAGUACAAUCAACGAGCAGUCAGCAUAACACUCCCAAAAACCUAAUUAUCUACAAACUCGAGUAGGUGUCACAAAUGAGGAUGCGGCUCAUGAGGCCUCCUCUUUCAACACUCAGUGUGUGUAGAGUAGACCGAAGCAAUGCCCCCACCCCCUCGGACCCAAUCCGCCCCCAAAAAAUCGACUCAAUCCAACCAGACCUAUGCAACAGACAGGCACAAACUAUAGAUUUUGACCCAUAAUAAUUCAUAGGACAAGUGCGGGGCCAUGAUUUUUGACCCCUAAACCGACUCAAUCCAAAAAAAACUCGACCAAAUCCAAAAAAACUAGCCCAACCUGAAAAAAUCCGACCCGAUGCAUCCAACAGGGAGGCACGAACCAAUUCGACACUAGGCACGGGUCAGGUGUGGGUCAUGUCCAACAAUCCACGACCUAACCUUCACCCAACCCAAACCUGGCUCGAUGACAGAGAAAAGAAGUGGUUCUAUGUGUGUUCUCAUAAGAGGCUCCUACGGAGUCAAUAGAGGUAAUAGCAGGAGUUUCAAAAUAAUAAAAUAAAUAAUCUUUAUAAUAUGUGUUCAUUACCUCGUACAUCAUAUAUAUAACACCUUCAUCAGCCGGCUUUUUACUCUCUUCCAUCAGCUAUCCUAAGUGGAAAAACAUACCCACGUCACAUGGCACGACACGACACACUGUGCCUCGCCACACCACGAAUCAGUGGCGGCGGUAAUAAUGUACGUGGCACGUCCUUAGUUUUCAACCACUCCAUAGGUGCACACGUUACCAUACAAAAGAUACGAUAUGAAAUAUACGGGAGUACCAAUAGUACCAAAAAAAUAUUGCUAAGAGAGCAAAGAGCGAGUCCUUGCAUCUUAGAGUAUGUCUGUCAGCGUCCCUAGGUACAGGUACCAAAGGCACUACAAGAAAUAUAGGUUUGUGCGAAGAAGAUAGACUAUGGGCCCUGAAAGUCGCCUAGAGGGGGGGUGAAUAGGCGGAAACUGAAAUUUACAACUUUAAACACAACUACAAGCCGGGGUUAGCGUUAGAAACAAAAUCGAAGUCCGAAAGAGAGGGUGAAAACAAAUCACAAGCAAAUGAAGCGGAUGACACGGUGAUUUGUUUUACCCAGGUUGGGUUCUUGAGAACCUACUCCCCGUUGAGGUGGUCACAAAGACCGGAUCUCUUUCAAUCCUUUCCCUCUCUCAAACGGUCACCUAGAUCGAGUGAGCUUUCUCCUUAAUCAAACGGGUCACUUAGACCUCUCACAAGGACCACAACAACUUGGUGUCUCUUGCUUUGAUUACAAGUGUCUUGAGAACAAGAAAGAGGAAGAAGAAAACGAUCCAAGAACAAGAGCUCAAAGAACAAGAGCAAAACUCUCGCUCUAGUCACUAUUUGUUCGGAGUGGAUUUGGGACUUGGAGAGGCUUUGAUUCUAUUGAAUUGUGUCUUGUAUUGAUUGCACUAGCUCUUGUAUUGAAUGAGAUGUUUGAAAAACUUGGAUGCUUGAAGUGGUGGUGGUUGGGGGGUAUUUAUAGCCCCAACCACCAAACCAGCUGUUGGGGAGGCUGUCUGUCGAUGGGCGCACCGGACAGUCCGGUGCGCCACCGAACACUGUCCGGUACGCCAGCAACGUCACCCAACCGUUAGGGUUCUAACGGUUUCGACCGUUGGAGCCCUGACUUCUUGGUGCACCGGACAGGGACUAUUCACUGUCCAGUGCGCCUUCUAGCGUUGCUCUGACACUGUGCGAACUGUCCGCGCACUGUUCACGCUGCAGGCGACCAUUGGAGUCGACUGUUGCGCUUCUUAGCCGUUGCUCCGCUGGCACACCGGACAGUCCGGUGCGCCAGACCAGGGUUCUCUUCGGUUUCUUUUGCUCCUUUCUUUUGAACCCUAAUUUUGAUGUUUUUAUUGGUUUGUGUUGAACCUUUAGCACCUGUAGAACAUAUAAUCUAGAGAAAACUAGUUAGUCCAAUUAUUUGUGUUGGGCAUUUCAACCACCAAAAUCAUUUAGGAAAAGGUUUGACCCUAUUUCCCUUUCAAUCUCCCCCUUUUUGGUGAUUGAUGCCAACACAAACCAAAGCAGAUAUAUAAGUGCAGAAUUGAACUAGUUUGCAUAAGGCAAGUGCAAAGGUUGCUUGGAAUUAAACCAAUUUAUAUUUUUACUAGAUAUGCAUGGAUUGCUUUCUUUCUUUUAACAUUUUGGACCACAUUUGCACCACUUGUUUUGUUUUUGCAAAUCCUUUUGGAAAUUCUUUUUCAAGGUCUUUUGCAAACAGUCAAAGGUAUAUGAAUAAUAUUUCGGGAAGUAUUUUCAAGAUUUGAAAUUUUCUCCCCCUGUUUCAAAUGCUUUUCUUUUGACUUAAACAAAACUCCUCCUGGAUGAAAUUCUCCUCUUAGUGUUCAAGAGGGUUUUACCAAUUGAAAGAAGAUCAAAUAUUUUAGAUACCAAUUUGAAAUAUGUCUAUUAAAAAUUUUCAUCAUAAGAUGCCAAUUGAAAAUGUUGGGGGCCUUCGUCCUCCGAAGGUCCUCAAAAACAUGAUUUAACAAUGUUUUCCAAGUGGAUUAUGUGAACAGGUACCUUCGGGCUCAGAAUUACGAACAUGAAGUGCGGUCAGGACGAAGCCUGAACCAGACGAAGGACGGGCUGAUUACCAAGCUCCACGAAGGAUGGUGCACAGCCGAAGCUGUGCGCAGGGAAGCUUCGUCGCGAUAGCAGAGAGGGGAACCGACUUAAAGAUGAAAAGACUACGUGGACCUUGUCAGGUUUCCAUAAGUCAUUGACAAAUGUAAUGGACAUAAAUGUAAUUUUACGUGGGCUGCGUCCCACGUCUAUAAAUAGAUGAACAGUACUCCCGUACUGAUCACGCUGACUUGGCAUUUGCUUUUGCGUCACGCUUGUACUUUUUACCUUCUCUCAGAACCGAAGGUACAUUUGUAAUUUGAAAUCAUUUCUAUUUUUCCAUGUUAAUAAAAUAGAAAUGAUUCUAUGAUGAUGCUUAUAUUAUAUUUCAUGCUUUAUAUGAAUCCUUCGUCAUUAUUUGUUAUGUUUACGAAGGUAUGUCUCUUAUGACCUUCGUCCGAAACUCAUUAUUUCCCGAAGGGACAUAAUGCUUCGAAGGACGAAGGACUUUAACACUUAACACUUUUUAUGUUGCCUUGUUCUUAAUUCUUAGCAUUUGAGAACAAGUCCCCAACAUUGGCGCCCACCUCCGGUGAACUCACUUCCACUUCGAGUUUUUUGAACACCUUCGGAAGCUAUAGACCCUCGCUAUGGCACCGAAGAAAGCUUCAGCGACUGGGGCUGCAGCACUGCAACCGCUGGACCCCAACCAGGAGACCAUCUCUCUCCGGGAGGCCCGAAACCAGAAGAGGAAGGCUGUCAGCCCGACGAUUCAGGAGGAUGAACUAGACCAAGAGAUCAGGGACAUGGAGAUGCUACAUCAACAGGUGCAGAGGAAGAAGGAGAAGAUGGCCAGGCUAGCUGAGCUGCAGAGGCAGAUAGACGAAGCUUCUGAAGAAGUCCGUCACCUUACCCACGAUGAGCAGAACCGAAGGCCUCAACAAAAAGACCUUCAUCAGGAGGGCUUCUUCAAUGAAGAUGACUGGUAUGAUAAUUUUCAUCAUGGAAAUUUUGUUUUCGACGAUGCUUCUCCUCUGUCCGCUGAGCUGCAGGCUACACCUUGGCCUUCGUCCUAUAAGCCACCCCAGCUUCCCAUGUUCGAUGGCCAUUCGGACCCGAAGCAGUUCUUGAUGAGUUACGAAGCAACAGUGUCUUCGUAUGGUGGCAAUGCUGCAGUAAUGGCAAAGUCUUUCGUUAUGGCCGUCAGGAGUGUUGCUCAGACCUGGUAUUCCUCCCUUCGGCCAGGAACGAUCACUUCAUGGCAGAAGCUGAAGGAUAUGUUAUUGACCAGCUUUCAAGGAUUUCAGACGAAGCCGGUCACUGCUCAAGCCUUGUUCCAGUGCACUCAGGAUCAUGAAGAAUACCUUCAGGCGUAUGUCAGAAGGUUCUUGCGUUUGAGGGCGCAGGCACCAACGGUGCCCAAUGAAAUUGUCACCGAAGCCAUGAUCAAGGGGCUUCGUCCUGGACCUGCUGCUCAAUACUUUGCUAGGAAACCUCCUCAGACCCUGGAGAAGCUGCUCCAAAAGAUGGACGAGUACAUUCGUGCUGACAAUGACUUUCGCCAAAGAAGGGAGGAGGCCUUCAGAUUUUCCGAAAUGACCAGGGGCUUCGGAGGAAGAUCCUAUCCGAGGCAUGUCAGGUCCAUCCACAACUCCACUCAGAAUGAUGAUAAGGGGAGUCAGCAGAACAGACCGCAGUGCUCUUCACAGGCUUCGGGGCAACAGCAAAGCUCCUUCCGACCACCAGCUCCAAGAGGCAGAGGCGCCAGGGGCUUCGGCGGAAGAUUCGGGGAUCAACCCAGAAGAAUAUUUUGCUUAUUCUGUGGUGAAAACAAAGGUCAUACUACCAGGAUGUGUCAUGUUACCAUUCAGAAGCAAAAAGAGAUAGCCGAAGCUGCCGCACAACAGGCUCAGCCGAAGCAGGUCAUGCACACUGCUUCGUAUCAUUCGCCCUACAUCCCAGAAUAUGUGGGCAACCAUCCUGCACUCUCUGCUGCUUCGGCAAGUCAGCCUUCAGCUUCCUGGCAACAGCCCCCGCCUCCACCUCCGUUGCAACAAGGCCAGCAGCCAGAAGGGAGCCAAUAUGCUCCACAUCAAAGGGACUUCAGAGAACAGUCCGAAGCUCGCACGGUCAACAGCACCGUGCCAGAGUCAAAACACAUCUAUUGACAAAUAUCCUACCUUAAUAGCAAUCUUUUUCAUUCAGUUUUAUUUUUUGUAAUAAAGGACAUUGUUUAGGUUUCAUGUAAUUAGUUUCGUUGAUUCCUACAAGAAAAAUAUGUUUUCUUCCCAGGUUUGUGAUAAUAUAAAGGACCUUUGGACUAUCGAAAAUCCUUCGAAGCAACAAAAAGUCGUUCUAAGGAACGCAGAGUAAGUCUGACGAAGUCACAAAAAGUCGUUCCGAAGGGAGCGCAGUGUAAGUUUUCUGCUCCAAAGUCGUUCCAAAAGGAAUGCAGAGCAUACAGCGAAAAGUCAACGCUGAUACCGCCUAAGUAAAAGGCGAAGAAGCUCCAAAGACGUUCCUAAGGGAAUGCAGAGCUUAUACCGCCUAAGUAAAAGGCGAAGAAGUUCCAAAGACGUUCCUAAGGGGAUGCAGAACUUACAGCGAAAAAUAAACGCUGAUUCCGCUGAAGUAAAAGGCGAAGAAGCUCCUAAGGGAGACUUAUAAUGAAAAAGUCAGUAUUGAUACAAAAGAUUGUGCCCCAUUGCAGGAAUGUGCGUAUCUUCGGCACAAAAUAUCAUUCUGCAUAACAUAACAUCAUCACAUCAUUUUGCAUAGCAUAAUCAUCAUACAUCAUGCUGCAUGUGGCACAAGAAGGGGGCAUGUUAUCGAUCUUCGGAAAAUGCUUUGAAAAAGGGCAAAUCAUGCCAAGUUACAGGGAGAAACAAUAUUGAUUUUCGAGGUAUAGCUUCGGAGAUUAUUUUUACGAAGCUUGGAUAUUUCUUAUCAGAACACCAUGGAUAUUGUCGUGAUAAAUGAUAAAUUCUUCUUCACGAAGCAUGAAAAGAAGGGAAGGUGUUUUUUCGUCGAAGACUCAAAAAUGGUAUGUGUUUAAAGUUUCAUGCAUCGUAAAGAAUUGAAUCAUAAAACAAGUAUAUUACAUACAGGAUUACAGAAUAUUACACAAAUCAUAUAUCAAAUGUUUUUUUGCAAUAGCACUUAGUCUUCCCUAAGUACUAUCUCUGCAGCUUCGUUCAGCAGUCGAUCGACAACCUGAUCCAUGAUAGCUUCGGCCAUCUUUUUAAUUUCGUCGUCAUCUUUAGGCUGAGGGCCCGAAGAUGCUUUAGUAGGAUCUGAGUGAGGACGGGAUACUAUUGCAUCAUUAUUACAGAUCGCGAACGAACUAUAAAAUUAAAAGUUAUAAUGCAAUGAAAACUAUUCGCUAGUACCUAUUUGCCCUUCGGGCUCUGCGUUUUUCUCAGCAGCCUCGGCUACUUUUCUAGCCUCAUGAAUCCCUUUCUCGCUUUUCUGAAUGAUUUCUUGGGCCAUUUCUCUACCACCGUUGUCCCAGAUGUCGGUGAAAAAUUUUCCCCCAACCGCGCUAGCUUCGGCUGAAGGAUCUUUUAUAUCUUCAGUGGACAAGGUGGCUUCGGACUGCGAUAAAAUCUUUACAUGUUCACAUCCUUUCCCCUCCAAAAUAGUGGCAAUCCCUCUGGCACCAGAAAAAGCGCAGAUGUCACCGCGGCUACUCAGGAUUUCCUCGAAGGCCUCCGCCUCAUGAUUGAUCCAUUCCAGGGGACCUUCGGGGUUACCUCUUAUAAAGUUUUCUUCUUGCGAAAAUGCGCCAACGCUGGCGAAGCUAGUUUUUAUUUUCUUGACACACUCUAUAGAUUUGUCGAAGCAUUUCUUCUUGGCUGACCGAAGCUCUUUAACAGUUUCUUCUAAAUGAUUUGCCCAUUGGUCGCUGAGUUCUCGCCUUGUUUCUUCAAGUAUGCAUUCCUCUUUAGCUCUGGCUAAUUGUUUACGAAGGUUUUCAAUUUCACACUUCUGAGCUUCGGCCUGACCUUUGAAAAUAGCUUCGUCUUCUUUUAUUUUAUUUAUUAAGGAAUGCAAUAUUUUGUCUUUUUCGAGACCUUCGUUCCUCAGUUCAAUUACUUCGGAACGAAGGUUGCUCAGGGCUAUAGUACAUCCUUCGUCCUCAGCAUCUUUCUGUGCUCUGAGGGCAUUGCUGAGUAUCAGGCCCUGCAGACAGGAAUAUGUCUGUGUUAAUAGUUUUAAACAAACGAAAAAUUUUGAAUUCAACAAAAAUAUAAGAAUUCCAUUUGUCGCACCUUUAAACUGUUGUAAGCUAGGCUGUCAGCCAGAUCGUUCUUUGACAGCACCGAAAGUCCGUCUUCUAAAGUUGGAAAUCCGAAGCUUCUGCUUAUCUCCCGACAGACAGAAAUUUCCUUGCUGUCGGGGAGGCAAUACAAGAAAUCUUCUUCUCCACUGCCAUUAAAUAUCAACGCCCCCUUUGGAUAUUUCAACUUUUGGGCAUAGUGUUGGGCCUCUUGUUCUUCUUUUUCUGUUAAUUUUUUCCCCGAAGCAUGACGAAAAAUAUAAUCACGAAUUUUGGAUACUUCGGGGGUAACAACACCAGUUCCUUCAGCAAAAGUUGGCUUUGUUAUUUUUUCUGUCUCACUUUCCAAGGUCUUUGCCUUUGAGGGCUCUGAGGGCCCAGCUUCGGCUUCAGUAUCUUGCUCUGGAGCUUUAGAACCCGAAGCUUCGACUGUUGUUUUAGGAGUGUCGGCAGCCUUCUUCGGAGGGGUGCUUGAAGAUUUGAUCGUUUCCAGCACAUCUAGCACAUUAGCCAUUCUCCUUCUUUUCGGAGUCACUGCUGGCACUUUUUGAUUACUUACUGUUUCAAUGUUUGCCACAGGACUCAAAACUUCUGAUGUUUUGGAGUCCUCGGUUGCUUCCUUUACCUCUUCCAUUUUUUCUGUGAAUGGCGCUUCGGCCUUCUCUUUCGUCUCUGAUAACAAAAUUUUUGAUUGCUCCAAUUUUGUCUUCGUUGGUAUUUCGACUGUUUCUGCGGCUUCUGGCAGCAAAGUUGGCUCGGCUGGUUUUUCAGCUUCGGUGGCCGAAGAAGUCUCUCCGGUAAACUCAGGCACCGAAGCUGGUUCAAUAUAACGCGGUCGAUAAGUAAGAACCUUUAUCUUCUUCCUUUUCGGUUCUGGCUCGCUAGGAGCAGCUGUAGUUUCUUCUUUUGCAGAGGUUGUAUUUUUUCUCUUCUGCCUUCGAAUGGGGUAGCAAUAGUCAGGGUAGACGAACCCGAUGGCAUCAAAUACCCGAUUCAGCCUUUUCUUUUUUCGGCCUCCGAAGGCUGCUGACAUUGCAGUAUCUUCGGCCUUCGAGUAUGUCCCAAGCAGCUCAUCACUUAAAUUGUCAAUGCUUUUCAACCACUCAUCGUCUGGCUCAAUAAAUUUAUCUUCAAAUUUAAAAGUGUACUUAAACCUGACGAGUCCACCUUCGUCGGCCUUUUUAACGAUUUCUUGGGGCAUUUCCCAUUUCUCCGCAAGCGGCCACACCCUGAAGGCAAUAUGCUCUUGUACUAAGUCCCUUGUUCCUAUAAAAGAGCAGACAACGCCGAAGGCUCUUUGGCACUCUUCGGCGGCUUCGUUCAUUUCAACUUUCGGCCUCCGAAGGCCGAAGCUUUGCCAAAUAGGACGCAUAAUUAUACCUUUGAUGUCUUCUCGUACUGAUAAGUCAUUCUUCACAUAAAACCAUUCUGUCAUCCAAUCCCCGGGCCAUCUCUUCCGAAAGGUUGGUACGGGACAGCUUGCCUCGGACCGAGAGACGAAGCUGUAGCAGCCAAAGUUGUUAUGGUACUGUUCUUUGCCCCAAGGUUUUGUUUCAUAUAAUAAUUCAUGAACAUUACAGAAGCUUCUUGCGUCAGGCUUCAGACCUUGGCUUCUCGUGGCCCACACGAAGAUAUUUAGCCUUAUAAUAGCCUCUGGAGUAAGUUGAUGAAGAUAGACUUCGAAGAUUUUCAACACCUCCACGACGAAGCUGCUCAAGGGGAAUCGCAAUCCGGCUUUCAAAAAGCUUCGGUACACCACAACUUCAUUUUCUUCAGGGUGUGGACAAGUCUUUUCCCCUUCGUCCGCCCUCACAAUGGACAGAUCCCGGAAAUACCUUCCUCUCAUAUUAACAAGAUGAUUCUCUUUGAUAGUUGAUUUACCAUAAACUGAAUGGCUUGGUCGCCAAGGGCGAUCUUCGGAGUCUUCGCCACCGCUGUCCACAUCAUAACUUUCACUGUCACCAGUAUCUUCAGACAGCCCUUCCAGAAUUUCCCUGGUGAUCUUUUCUGUGUUGGUCUUCGACAUUGCUAUAAGAAACCCUAAGUUCUUCUCUUCAUCAAGACUCAGCUUCAUUUCAGCAGCAGCCUUCUUAGCAGCUUCAGACAUCUUCGGAAACACUAAAAAACUGUUUUCAAAGCCGAAGCUUCAAAGCUAAAAGCUUAGCAGAUCACAGUGCACAAGAGCUAAAAAAUGAGUGAGCAAGAGUGGUUGGCCAGAAAGCGUGCAAAAUAAGUUUGCGGUAUGGCCGUAUUUAUACGCUUGAUGCGUUGAAAGUUGAAAGACCCCACUUGUCAUUGAAUGUUGCUAUUCUAGCAAAGGGAAGGUGUUUUUUCGGACCUUCGGCAUAAAGCCUCCGUUCAUAUCGCAAUCUGAAUUUAUUAUUUCAAACAAAUUAAUAUUGCGAGGGGCUACUGUUGGGGGCCUUCGUCCUCCGAAGGUCCUCAAAAACAUGAUUUAACAAUGUUUUCCAAGUGGAUUAUGUGAACAGGUACCUUCGGGCUCAGAAUUACGAACAUGAAGUGCGGUCAGGACGAAGCCUGAACCAGACGAAGGACGGGCUGAUUACCAAGCUCCACGAAGGAUGGUGCACAGCCGAAGCUGUGCGCAGGGAAGCUUCGUCGCGAUAGCAGAGAGGGGAACCGACUUAAAGAUGAAAAGACUACGUGGACCUUGUCAGGUUUCCAUAAGUCAUUGACAAAUGUAAUGGACAUAAAUGUAAUUUUACAUGGGCUGCGUCCCACGUCUAUAAAUAGAUGAACAGUACUCCCGUACUGAUCACGCUGACUUGGCAUUUGCUUUUGCGUCACGCUUGUACUUUUUACCUUCUCUCAGAACCGAAGGUACAUUUGUAAUUUGAAAUCAUUUCUAUUUUUCCAUGUUAAUAAAAUAGAAAUGAUUCUAUGAUGAUGCUUAUAUUAUAUUUCAUGCUUUAUAUGAAUCCUUCGUCAUUAUUUGUUAUGUUUACGAAGGUAUGUCUCUUAUGACCUUCGUCCGAAACUCAUUAUUUCCCGAAGGGACAUAAUGCUUCGAAGGACGAAGGACUUUAACACUUAACACUUUUUAUGUUGCCUUGUUCUUAAUUCUUAGCAUUUGAGAACAAGUCCCCAACAGAAAACUUCUUUAAGAAACUUUGAGAUUGGUGGUGGUGCGGAUGCCAAUUGAAAAACUUCUUUAAGAAACUUUGAGAUUGGUGGUGGUGCGGUCCUUUUGCUUUAGACUAUAUUUCUCCCCCUUUGGCAUUAAUCGCCAAAACAGAGUCUUUUAAGAGCCCUUCUUACUUUUUCCCCAUUGGUACAAAUGAAUAUGGGUGAAGAUUAUACCAAAGUGGAGAGUGGUGCGGAGUGACGGCGAAGGGUAAAUAAUACCAAUAGAGUGGAGUGGAAGCCUUGUCUUCGCCGAAGACUCCAUUUCCCUUUCAAUCUAUGACUUAGUAGGAAUUCUCUUGAAAAUACAUUAGUCAUAGGCAUAAAAGAGAUAUGAUCAAAGGUAUAUAAAUGAGCUAUGUGUACAAAGUAUCAAUCAAAGUUCCAAGAAUCAAGAAUGUUUAGUUCAUUCCUAAGUUUGGUAAAGGUUUUCUCAUCUAAUGGUUUGGUAAAGAUAUCGGCUAAUUGUUCUUUGGUGCUAACAUAAGCAAUCUCGAUAUCCCCCUUUUGUUGGUGAUCCCUCAAAAAGUGAUACCGAAUGGCUAUGUGCUUAGUGCGGCUGUGUUCAACGGGAUUAUCCGCCAUGCGGAUUGCACUCUCAUUAUCACAUAGGAGAGGGACUUUGCUCAAUUUGUAGCCAUAGUCCCUAAGGGUUUGCCUCAUCCAAAGUAAUUGCGCACAACAAUGGCCUGCGACAAUAUACUCGGCUUCGGUGGUAGAAAGAGCUACUGAGUUUUGUUUCUUUGAAGCCCAAGACACCAGGGAUCUUCCCAAAAACUGACAAGUCCCUGAUGUGCUCUUCCUAUCAAUUUUACACCCUGCCCAAUCAGCAUCUGAAUAACCUAUUAAAUCAAAGGUGGAUCCCCUAGGGUACCAAAGACCAAACUUAGGUGUAUGAACUAAAUAUCUCAUGAUUCCUUUCACGACCCUAAGGUGAACUUCCUUAGGAUCGACUUGGAACCUUGCACACAUGCAUACUAAAAGCAUAAUAUCCGGUCGAGAUGCACAUAAAUAGAGUAAAGAUCCUAUCAUCAAUCGAUAUACCUUUUGAUCUAUGGAUUUACCUCCCGUGUAGAGGUCGAGAUGCCCAUUUGUUCCCAUGGGUGUCUUGAUGGCCUUGGCAUCCUUCAUUCCAAACUUGGUAAGUAUGUCUUGAAUGUACUUCGUUUGGCUGAUGAAGAUGCCCUCUUGGAGUUACUUGACUUGAAAUCCUAAGAAAUACUUCAACUCCCCCAUCAUAGACAUCUCGAAUUUUUGAAUCAUUAUCCUACUAAACUCUUCACAAGUAGAUUUGUUAGUAGACCCAAAUAUGAUAUCAUCAACACAAAUUUGGCAUACAAACAAAUAAAUUGCAAUGGUUUUAGUAAAGAGUGUAGGAUUGGCUUUUCCGACUUUGAAAUCAUUAGUGAUAAGGAAAUCUCUUAGGCAUUCAUACCAUGCUCUUGGGGCUUGCUUGAGCCCAUAAAGCACCUUUGAGAGUUUAUACACAUGGUUAGGGUACUCACUAUCUUCAAAGCCGGGAGGUUGCUCAACAUAGACCUCUUCCUUGAUUGGUUCAUUGAUGAAGGCACUUUUCACGUCCAUUUGAUAAAGCUUAAAGCCAUGGUAAGUACCAUAGGCAAGUAAUAUGCGAAUUAAUUCAAGCCUAGCUACGGGUGCAUAGGUUUCACCGAAAUCCAAACCUUCGACUUGUGAAUAUCCCUUGGCCACAAGUCAGGCUUUGUUCCUCGUCACCACACCAUGCUCAUCUUGCUUGUUGCGGAAUACCCACUUGGUUCCUACAACAUUUUGGUUAGGACGUGGAACAAGAUGCCAUACCUCAUUCCUCGUGAAGUUGUUGAGCUCCUCUUGCAUUGCCAACACCCAAUCUGAGUCUCUUAAUGCAUCUUCCACCCUGUAUGGCUCAAUGGAAGACACAAAGGAGUAAUGUUCACAAAAAUGAGCGACACGAGAUCGAGUGGUUACCCCCUUAUGAAUAUCACCGAGGAUGAAGUUCACGGGGUGAUCUCGUUGUAUCGCUUGGUGGACUCUUGGGUGUGGUGGUCUUUGACCCUGUUCUUCUUGAUCAUCUUCCUUGUCUUGAUCAUUGUCAUCUCCUCCUUGAUCAUUGUCCUUCUAUUGAGGUGGCUCAUUGUCUUCAUCUUCUUCUUCAUUGUCUUGAGCUUGAUCCUCAUCUUGGGUUGGUGGAGAUGCUUGAUUGGAAGAUGAUGGUUGAUCUUGUGCUUGUGGAGGCUCUUUGGAUUCCUUAGGACACACAUCCUCAAUGGACAUGUUUCUUAGUGCGACGCACAGAGCCUCUUCAUCAUCUAGCUCAUCAAGAUCAACUUGCUCUACUUGAGAGCCAUUAGUCUCAUCAAACACAAUGUCACAAGAAACCUCAACUAAUCCAGUGGAUUUGUUGAAGACUCUAUAUGCCCUUGUGUUUGAGUCAUAACCAAGUAAAAAGCCUUCUACAGCCUUAGGAGCAAAUUUAGAUUUUCUACCUCUUUUAACAAGAAUAAAACAUUUGCUGCCAAAGACUCUAAAAUAUGAAACAUUGGGCUUUUUACCGGUGAGGAGUUCAUAUGAUGUCUUCUUGAGGAUUUGGUAAAGAUAUAAUCGGUUGAUGGAGUAGCAGGCGGUGUUAAUCGCCUCAGCCCAAAACCGGUCUGGAGUCUUGUACUCAUCAAGCAUGGUCCUUGCCAUGUCUAGUAGAGUUCUAUUCUUCCUCUCCACUACACCAUUUUGUUGAGGUGUGUAGGGAGAAGAGAACUCAUGCUUGAUUCCCUCAUCCUCAAGAAAGCCUUCAAUUUGAGAGUUCUUGAACUCCGUCCAUUGUCGAUUCUUAUCCUUUUGAUCCUUAAACCGAACUCAUUUUGAGCUCGUCUCAAGAAUCCCUUUAAGGUCUCUUGGGUUUGAGAUUUUUCCUGUAAAAAGAAUACCCAAGUGAAGCGAGAAAAAUCAUCCACAAUUACAAGCCAAUACUUACUCCCGCCGAUGCUUAUGUAAGCUAUCGGGCCGAAUAGAUCCAUGUGGAGUAGCUCAAGCGGCCUGUCGGUUGUCAUGAUGUUCUUCUGUGGAUGGUGGGCACCAACUUGCUUUCCUGCUUGACAUGCGCUACAAACCCUGUCUUUCUCAAAAUGAACAUUUGUUAGUCCUAAAAUGUGUUCUCCCUUUAGAAGCUUGUGAAGAUUCUUCAUCCCAACAUGGGCUAGUCGGCGAUGCCAAAGCCAACCCAUAUUAGUCUUAGCAAUUAAGCAAGUAUCGAGUUCAACUAUAUUGAAAUCAACUAAGUAUAGCUGACCCUCGAGUACUCCCUUAAAUGCUACUGAAUCAUCACUUCUUCUAAAGACAGUAACACCUAUAUCCGUAAAAAGGCGAUUGUAACCCAUUUUGCAUAAUUGAGAAACUGAAAGCAAGUUAUAAUCUAAAGAAUCUACAAGAAAAACAUUAGAAAUGGAAUGGUCAGGUGAUAUAGCAAUUUUACCAAGUCCUUUGACCAAACCUUGAUUUCCAUCCUCGAAUGUGAUAGCUCUUUGAGGAUCUUCGUUUUUCUCAUAGGAGGAGAACUGAGAGCACCUAGAGGAGGGAUGAAUAGGUGAUCCUGUAAAAUCAAACACUAAAUAGCCACAAGACUUAGUUUAUUAUAGAGUUAGUGCGACUAAGUAGCUUUGAAGCGUAUUCUUGUGAACACAACAAUCACAGAGAAAGCAACACAAAAGACACACGAUUUUUAUCCCAUGGUUCGGCCAAGUAACCCUUGCCUACUUCCACGUUGUGGCGUCCCAAUGGACGAGGGUUGCACUCAACCCCUUUCAAGUGAUCCAAUGAUCAACUUGAAUACCACGAUCUUUUCCUUUAGAGUCUUUUCCUGUGUGCGAGGAAUCUCCACAGUUUGGAGUCUCUCGCCCUUACAAUAGAGAUCACAAAGAAAGCACAUAGUAAGGUUGGAGAGAGAAACACACACAAGACUCAAAUCUGCAGCACAACCACGCACACAAGUCACGACUUGAGCUCGAAACACAACACACGGAGUUCGCAACUCAAAUGGAGCUCAAAUCACUAACACAAAGAAUCAAAUGCGUGGAGUCGGAGUCUGGGAGUCUUAGAAUGUUUAUUGAAAGCUUGGUGUUCUCCUCCAUGUGCCUAGGGGUCCCUUUUAUAGCCCAAGGCAGCUAGGAGCCGUUGGAGAUCAACUUGGAAGGCAAUUCCUGCCUUCUGUCGAGUGGCGCACCGGAUAGUCCGGUGCACCACCGGACAGUCCGGUGCACCACCGGACAUCCAUUGUUCAUGUCCGGUGCACGAUCUCCUUCAAAAUCAGGCGUAUCCGACUGUUGCUCCUCCGGGCCCGUUGGCGCACCGGACACUGUCUGGUGCACCAGCUGACCGUUGUAGCAGUCUACGUGUCGCCCGCAGAUUGCGAGGCCGACCGUUGGCGCUAGCGGCCGUUGGCUCACCGGACAGUCCGGUGAAUUAUAGCCACGUCGCGUUUUCUGUUUCCCGAGAGUAGCGAGUUCGUCGCGGAUGACUCACCGGACAGUCUAGUGCACAACUAGACAGUCCGGUGAAUUUUAGCCGUACAACUCCGUCGAUUCCCGAGAGCAGCUGGUUCACCGUCAGCCAGCCUCGGGCACAGGACACUGUCCGGUGCACCACCGAACAGUCCGAUGUGCCAGGCCGAGCUGGUGUUGGCUGCACACAGCCAACUCUUUCCCUUUUCUUUUCUUCUUCUUUUGUCACUGUUUCUAGCACUUAGACAAACACAUUAGUACUCAAAAACAAUAUACUAAGUCUAGAAACAUACCUUGUAAUAUGAUUUGUAUUUCUCUCUUCAUUUAGCACAUAAGAAUUUAAUCAAUCGUGUUGGGCAUUUAAUCACCAAAACAUUAUAGAAAUGGCCCAAGGGCACAUUUCCCUUUCAAUCUCCCCCUUUUUGGUGAUUCAUGCCAACACAUCAAAAAGCAACAAAAAGAAGUGCAACAUCAAUGCCAAUGAAAACCAAAUUCUCUUUACUUAGGGUUUGACAUAUUUGGAUCAUUCUUUGCCACCACUUGGUUUGUUUUUGCAAAUCAAAUUCAUUUUCCUAUCUCUAAGUUAAACACGGUUGUUUGGGCACAUAGAGAGAUAUUCCAAGAGUAAAAUUAAUCAAGUGCCAAAAACUCUCCCUUUUUCCCAUAAUAAAAAAUUCUCCCCACAAGAGACCAAAUUUUGCAAUUAGAGUAUUUUGAGCAAAUCAUAAAUUCUUACUCUAUUAUUUUCAAGGCUGAUCCAUUUGCUUUGGCCUUAAUUUUUCCCCCUUUGGCAUUAAGCACCAAAACGGGAUCAUUUUUGGCCCUUUAACCCCAUUGCUUCACCGAAAAUGUUAAUUAAGAGCAAAAGGCAAUGAGAGCAUAAGUAUGAACUUGGAAUUAAAUACACUAAUACCAGAGUGCAGUGGAAGUCUUUGCGUCGUCCAAGUUUAGUUUCCCUUUCAAUGUACCUUUGAGACUACAUCAGGUGUACUUAAACAAACAUGUUAGUAUCAAAGGAUCAAGUUGUAGCACAUCUCCCCCUUAAUAUGUGCACCAUUUUGCAUAUGGACUUGUGAGGUCCGGGGAUCACUUGUACAACUUGAGCACCAUAAACAAAUGUUGUAAAUGCAUAAAGUAACACGAUCAAAGGCAUAGAACACAUGUAUGUUGUAGAUCAAUCCAAGUUACGCGAAUCUAAGACAUUUAGCUCACUUCGCAACCUGCAAAACCUUUUCUCAUCUAAAGGCUUAGUGAAGAUAUCGGCUAGCUGGUUCUCGGUGCAAAUAUGGUACACCUCAAUAUCUCCCUUUUGCUGGUGGUCUCUCAGGAAGUGAUGCCGGAUGUCUAUGUGCUUAGUGCGGCUGUGUUCAACAGGAUUUGCCGCCAAGCGGAUUGCACUCUCAUUGUCACAUAGGAGUGGGACUUUGCUCAUAUUGUAGCCAAAGUCCUGGAGGGUUUGCCUCAUCCAAAGUAGUUGCGCGCAACACUAUCUUGCGGCAACGUACUCGGCCUCAGCGGUGGAUAGGGCAACAGAGGUUUGUUUCUUAGAACUCCAGGACACCAGGGACUUUCCUAGAAAUUGGCACGUCCCUGAUGUACUCUUCCUAUCAACCUUGCAUCCGACAUAAUCAGAGUCUGAAUAUCCAAUCAAGUCAAAGGUAGACCCCUUUGGAUACCAGAUCCCAAAGCAAGGCGUAGCAACUAAAUAUCUAAGAAUUCGCUUAACGGCCACAAGGUGACAUUCCUUGGGGUUGGAUUGAUAUUUAGCACACAUGCAUACACUAAGCAUAAUGUCCGGUCUACUAGCACAUAAAUAAAGUAAUGAAUCUAUCAUGGACCGGUUUGCCUUUUGAUCAACGGACUUACCUCCUUUGUUGAAAUCAAUGUGCCCGUCAGUUCCCAUCAGUGUCUUCGCGGGCUUGGCGUCCUUCAUCCCAAACCUCUUGAGAAGAUCCUGAGUGUACUUCGUUUGUGAGAUGAAGGUGCCAUCCUUGAGUUGAUUCACUUGGAAUCCAAGGAAUUAGGACAACUCGCCCAUCAUCGACAUCUCAAACUUUUGCGUCAUUACCCUGCUAAACUCUUCACAAGACUUUUGGUUAGUAGAACCAAAUAUUAUGUCAUCGACAUAAAUUUGGCACACAAAGAGAUCACCAUCACAAGUCUUUGUAAAAAGAGUGGGAUCGGCUUUCCCAACCUUGAAAGCAUUAGCAAUUAAGAAAUCUCUAAGGCAUUCAUACCAUGCUCUUGAGGCUUGCUUAAGUCCAUAGAGCGCCUUAGAUAGCUUAUACACGUGGUCGAGAUACCUGUCGUCCUCAAAGCCAGGGGGUUGUUCCACGUAUACCUCCUCCUUGAUUGGCCCGUUGAGGAAAGCGCUCCUCACGUCCAUUUGGAACAGCCUAAAAGAAUGGUGAGCGGCAUAGGCUAACAAAAUUCGAAUUGACUCUAACCUAGCCACAGGAGCAAAAGUCUCCUCGAAAUCCAAACCUGUGACUUGGGCAUAACCUUUUGCCACAAGUCGAGCCUUGUUUCUUGUCACCACUCCAUGCUCGUCUUGCUUGUUGCGGAACACCUAGUUGGUUCCCACAAUGUUUUGCUUUGGACGUGGCGCGAGGCUCCAGACUUCGUUUCUCUUGAAGUUGUUGAGCUCUUCCUGCAUGGCCAGCACCCAGUCAGGAUCCUGCAAGGCCUCUUCUACCCUGAAAGGCUCAAUAGAAGAGACAAACGAGUAAUGCUCACAAAAAUUAGCUAAGCGUGAGCGAGUGGUUACUCCCUUGCUGAUGUCACCUAGAAUUUGAUCGACGAGGUGAUGUCUUUGGAUCGACGCUCGGACUUGAGUUGGAGGGACCCGUGGUGCUUCUUCCUCCAUCACUUGAUCUUCUUGUGCUCCCCCUUGAUCCCGCUCCUCUUCUUGAGGUACCUGUCCAUCAUCUUGAGUUGGGGGAUGCACCAUUGUAGAGGAAGAUGGUUGAUCUUGCUCCUGUUGUUCCUGUGGUCACACAUCACCUAUCGCCAUCGUGCGCAUUGCAGCCGUUGGAACUUCAUCCUCAUCUAUGUCAUCAAGAUCAACUUGCUCUCAUGGAGAGCCAUUAGUCUCAUCAAAUACAGCGUCGCUAGAGACUUCAACUAAUCCUGAUGAUUUGUUGAAGACCCUAUACGCCUUUGUAUUUGAUUCAUACCCUAGUAAAAAACCCUUCUACUGCCUUGGGAGCAAAUUUAGAAUGUCUACCUUUCUUCACCAGAAUGUAGCAUUUGCUCCCAAAUACACGAAAGUAAGAGACAUUGGGUUUGUUACCGGUAAGGAGUUCAUAGGAGGUCUUCUUGAGGAGGCGAUGCAGAUAGAGCCGGUUUAUGGCAUGGCAAGCUGUGUUCAUAGCUUCCGAUCAAAACCGCUCAGGCGUCUUGUACUCUCCAAGCAUUAUUAUCGCCAUGUCAAUUAGCGUCCUGUUCUUCCUCUCUACCACACCAUUUUGUUGUGGUGUGUAGGGAGCGGAGAACUCGUGCUUGAUGCCUUCCUCCUCAAGAAACUCUUCAACUUGCAGAUUCUUGAACUCGGACCCAUUGUCGCUCCUUAUCUUCUUCACCUUUAGCUCAAAUUCAUUUUGAGCUCUCCUUAGAAAGCGCUUUAGGGUCCCUUGGGUUUCUGAUUUGUCCUGCAAAAAGUACACCCAAGUGAAGCGGGAAAAGUCAUCAACAAUUACAAUACCAUACUUACUUCCCCCGAUGCUAAGGUAGGCAACGGGUCCAAAGAGGUCCAUGUGAAGAAGCUCCAGUGGUCUUGAUGUUGUCAUCACAUUCUUGCUGUGAUGAGUACUUCCCACCUGUUUCCCUGCCUGACAUGCUACACAAGGCCUGUCUUUCUCAAAACAGACAUCGGUUAGUCCUAACACAUGAUCUCCCUUUAGAAGUUUAUAUAGGUUCUUCAUCCCAACAUGUGCUAGACGGCGAUGCCAAAGCCAGCCCAUAUUAGUCUUAGCUAUUAAGCAUGCAUCUAGAUCAGCCUCCUCUUUCAAAAAAUCAACUAAGUAGAGUUUGCCGUCUAAUACACCCUUAAAAGCUAAUGAACCAUCACUCCUUCUAAAGACAUAUACAUCAACGUUUGUAAAAAGACAAUUGUAACCCAUGUGACACAAUGACUUACAGAUAACAGAUUAUACCCGAGCGAUUCAACUAAAAACACAUUAGAGAUAGAAUGCUCGGAUGUAAUGGCUAUUUUUCCUAAUCCUUUGACCUUGCCUUGGUUCCCAUCUCCAAAGAUGAUCGUAUCCUGGGAAUCCUCGUUCUUGACGUAGGAGGUGAACAUCUUCUUUUCCCCCGUCAUAUGGUUUGUGCAUCCGCUGUCGAUUAUCCAGCUAGAGCCCCCGGAUGCAUAAACCUGCAAGGCAAUUUUAAACUUGGGUUUUAGGUACCCAACUCUUGUUGGGUCCUACAAGGUUAGUCACAAUAGUUUUUGGAACCCAAAUACAAGUGUGGAGGUUUUCCAAGGGGAAUUGAUAGUAAAUGCACAUUUGUAUUGUAUGGCAUGCGAGAAUAGUCAAAAGAGUAGUUCUGAUUAACCGUUUUCUUUUUCGACGAAGAGUCGUUGUCGUCGUCUCUUGGUGAAGAAGAUGAUGCAUCACUGUCGUAGUAGAUGAUCUUCUUGAUGCGUCUCUUCUUCUUCCCGUCCCUCUUCUUGUGACUCGAGCCUGAGUCAGUGGGCUUGUUGUCUCUUGGCUCGUUGAAGAGGGACUCCUUCUCCUUAUCAUUGACCACCAUUCCCUUACCCUUAGGAUCCAUCUCUUCGGGCAGUUAAUCCCUUAGAUGAAGAGUACGACUCUGAUACCAAUUGAGAGCACCUAGAGGGAGGGUGAAUAGGUGAUUCUGUAAACUCAAACACUAAAUAGCCACAAGACUUAGUUUAUUAGAGAGUUAGUGCGACUAAGUAGGUUUGAAGCGUAUUCUUGUGAACACAACAAUCACAGAGAAAGCAACACAAGAGACAUGCGAUUUUUAUCUCGUGGUUUGGCCAAGUAACACUUGCCUACUUCCACGUUGUGGCGUCCCAAUGGACGAGGGUUGCACUCAACCCCUUUCAAGCGAUCCGAUGAUCAACUUGAAUACCACAGUCUUUUCCUUUAGAGUCUUUUCCCGUGUGCGAGGAAUCUCCACAGUUUGGAGUCUCUCGCCCUUACAAUAGAGAUCAUAAAGAAAGCACAGAGUAAGGUUGGAGAGAGCAACACACGCAAGACUCAAAUCCGCAGCACAACCACGCACACAAGUCACGACUUGAGCUCGAAACAUAACACACGGAGUUCGCAACUCAAAUGGAACUCAAAUCACUAACACAAAGAAUCAAAUGCGUGGAGUCGGAGUCUGGGAGUCUUAGAAUGUUUCUUGAAAGCUUGGUGUUCUCCAUGCGCCUAGGGGUCCCUUUUAUAACCCAAGGCACCUAGGAGCCAUUGGAGAUCAACUUGGAAGGCAAUUCCUGCCUUCUGUCGAGUGGUGCACCGGACAAUCCAGUGCACCCCCGGACAUCCAUUGUUCAUGUCCGGUGCACGAUCUCCUUCCAAAUUAGGCGUAUCCGACCGUUGCUCCUCCGGGCCCGUUGGCGCACCGGACACUGUCCGGUGCAUACCGGACAGUCCGGUGCACCAGCUGACCGUUGGAGCAGUCCACGUGUCGCCCGCAGAUUGCACGGCCGACCGUUGGCGCUGGCGACCGUUGGCUCACCGGAUAGUUUGGUGCACCACCGGACAGUCCGGUGAAUUAUAGCCACGUCGCCUUUUUCCAUUUCCCGAGAGCAGCGAGUUCAUCGCGGAUGACUCACCGGACAGUCCGGUGAAUUUUAGCCGUAUAACUCCGUCGAUUCCUGAGAGCAGCUGGUUCACCGUCAGCCAGCCUGGGGCACCGGACACUGUCCGGUGCACCACCGAACAGUCCGGUGUGCCAGGCCGAGCUGGUGUUGGCUGCACACAGCCAACUCUUUCCCUUUUUCUUUUCUUCUUCUUUUGUCACUGUUUCUAGCACUUAGACAAACACAUUAGUACUCAAAAACAAUAUACUAAAUCUAGAAACAUACCUUGUAAUAUGAUUUGUAUUUCUCUCUUCAUUUAGCACAUAAGAAUUUAAUCAAUCGUGUUGGGCAUUUAAUCACCAAAACAUUAUAGAAAUGGCCCAAGGGCACAUUUCCCUUUUAAGAACAUCAUUUUCUCCCAUGUCAUGUGGUUUGUGCAUUCGCUAUCAAUGAUCCAACUUGAGCCCUGGGAUGCAUAAACCAACGAAACAAGUUUAGGCCUUGUUCUUAGGUACCCAAACGGUCUUGGGUCCUUUCACAUUAGAAACAAGCACCUUGGGUACCCAAACACAAGUCUUGGAGCCCUUGUGUGUGCCCCCAACAUAUUUGGCAACUACUUUGCCUGAUUUGUUAGUCAAAACAUAAGAUGCAUCAAAAGUCUUAAAUGAAACAUUUGGUUCAUUUGAUGCAGUAGGAGUUUUCUUUUUAGGCAAUUUAACAUGGGUUGAUUGCCUAGAGCUAGAAACCUCAUUUUUAUACAUAAAAGCAUGAUGUGAAAUAUUAUGAGGUUUCCUAGCAUGGAUUCUCCUAAUCUUAUGCUCAGGAUAACCAGCAGGAUAUAAAAUGUAACCCUCGUUAUCCUGAGCCAUGGGAGCCUUGCCCUUAACAAAAUUAGACAGUUUCUUUGGGGCAUUAAGCUUGACAUUGUCUCCCUGUUGGAAACCAAUGCCAUCCUUAAUGUCAGGGCGUCUCCCAUUAUAGAGCAUGCUCCUAGCAAAUUUAAAUUUUUCAUUUUCUAUCUCAUGCUCAUUGAUUUUAGCAGUAAGUUGAGCUAUGUGAUCAUCAAUAGUGAAAGGGAAUUAGGCUUACACCUAGUUCCUAAUUAAUUUUGGUGGUUGAAUUGCCCAACACAAAUAUUUGGACUAACCAGUUUGCUCUAGAUUAUAUGUUCUACAGGUGUCAAAGGUUCAUCUACAACUAUACUAAAUCGACUGUCCGGAAUACCGUAGAUUAUUCCGGACAGGAGAAGCUUUUUGGAAAAACAGGCCAAGCGCGGACCAUCCGGGCCCUUGCGGCGGACCGUCCGCGACACAAGGAUGACCCUCGGACAGAACCAAUGCAAAAAUCCGAGUUUGCACUAUGGACCGUCCGAAAGAUAAGCGCAGACCGUCUGGGACCUCGCUCGGACCGUCCGGCCUCAGGCGCGGACCGUCCGGUAGGCAAGGAUCUGAAAAACCCGAAGGUGACGGGUUCGGAAGAAUGAAUUAUAGCGGCCUCGCGGACCGUCCGGGGUGCACGACCGGACCGUCCGCGACUGGGUCUGUCUGACAUCUGACGACGCAUUAAAUGCAAUAUAGCCGUUGAUAUAGCCGUUACUGCUGACCGUUGCGUUUUCAGCCGUUGAUCUACAGGCGCGGACCGUCCGGACCAGACGGGCGGACCGUCCGUGGUCGGCAGAAUGGAGCAACGGCUAGGAAGUGGUUGGUGGCUAUAAAUACAACCCCAACCACCUCCAUUCACUUCACCCAAACAUUCCAACCUUCAACAUUCAAUACAAGAGCUAGCAAUCCAUUCCAAGACACAUUCAAAGCCUCCAUCUCUCCAAGUUUCACAAUUGAGAAAAGAGAUCAUUAGUGAUUAGUGACUUGAGAGAGAAAGUGAUCCAUGUGUUAUUUGUCGCUCUUGUCGCUUGGCUUUUGCAAUCGUGCUUUCUUUCAAUCUUCAUUGCGAUCAAACUCACUUGUAAUUGAGGCAAGAGACACCAAUCUUGUGGUGGUCCUUGUGGGAACUUUGUGUUCCAAGCAUUUGAGAAGAGAAAGCUCACUCGGUCCGAGGGACCGUUUGAGAGAGGGAAAGGGUUGAAAAAGACCCGACCUUUGUGGCCUCCUCAACGGGGAGUAGGUUUGCGAGAACCGAACCUUGGUAAAACAAAUCCUUGUGUCUCACUUCCAUAUUCGCUUGCGAUUUGUUUUGCACCCUCUCUCGCGGACUCAAUUAUAUUUCUAACGCUAACCCGACUUGUAGUUGUGAUUAAUUUUGUAAAUUUCAGUUUCGCCCUAUUCACCCCCCCUCUAGGCGACUUUCAAUUGGUAUCGGAGCCCGGUGCUUCAUUAGAGCCUAACCGCUCGAAGUGAUGUCGGGAGAUCACACCAAGAGGGAGAUGGAGACCGGCGACAAGCCCACUACGAGCCAAGGGAGCACUUCAUCGGAAGAGUCCCGCACCAAGAGGAAGGAAAAGAAGAAGGACUCCUCCAAACGGAAGGAGAAAAGAUCUUCUUCACACCACAAAGAGAAGAAGGAAAAAUCUUCUUCCCACAAGUCGCAUCGGAAAGGCGACAAGCACAAGAGGAUGAGGAAAGUGGUCUACUACGAGACCGACACUUCAUCAACAUCGACCUCCGACUCCGAUGCGCCGUCCGUAACUUCUAAGCGCCAAGAGCGCAAGAAGUUUAGUAAGAUCCCCUUACACUAUCCUCGUACACCUAGACAUACUCCAUUACUUUCCGUUCCAUUAGGCAAACCGCCAACUUUUGAUGGCGAAGAUUAUGCUAGGUGGAGUGACUUAAUGAAAUUUCAUCUAACCUCACUCCACAAAAGUAUAUGGAAUGUUGUUGAGUUUGGAGCACAGGUACCAUCCAUAGGGGGUGAGGAUUAUGAUACGGACGAAGUGGCCCAAAUCGAGCACUUCAACUCUCAAGCUACAACCAUACUCCUCGCCUCUCUAAGUAAGGAGGAAUACAACAAGGUGCAAGGGUUGAAGAAUGCAAAGGAGAUUUGGGACCUUCUCAAGACCGCGCACGAGGGUGAUGAACUCACCAAGAUCACCAAGCGGGAAACGAUCGAGGGGGAGCUCGGUCGCUUCCGUCUUCGCCAAGGGGAGGAGCCACAAGAUAUGUACAACCAGCUCAAAACCUUGGUGAACCAAGUGCGCAACCUCGGGAGCAAGAAGUGGGAUGACCACGAGGUGGUUAAGGUUAUUUUAAGAUCACUUAUUUUCCUUAACCCUACUCAAGUACAAUUAAUUCGUGGUAAUCCAAGAUAUACACUAAUGACUCCCGAGGAAGUAAUCGGGAAUUUUGUGAGCUUUGAAUGUAUGAUCAAGGGCUCAAAGAAGAUCAACGAGCUUGACGAUCCCUCCACGUCCGAAGCACAACCGGUGGCUUUUAAGGCGACGGAGGAGAAGAAGGAGGAGUCUACACCAAGUAGACAACCAAUUGACGCCUCCAAGCUCGACAAUGAGGAGAUGGCUUUAAUCAUCAAAAGCUUUCGCCAAAUCCUCAAGCAACGGAAGGGGAUGGAUUACAAACCCCGUUCCAAGAAGGUUUGCUACAAGUGUGGUAAGCCCGGUCACUUUAUUGCUAAAUGUCCAUUAUCAAGUGACAGUGACAGGGAUAACAACAAGAAGGGCAAGAGGAGAGAAAAGAAGAGGUACCACAAGAAGAGGGGAGGCGAUGCCCACGUGUGCCGCGAGUGGGACUCCGACGAGAGCUCCACCGAGUCCUCCUCCGACGAGGACGCCGCCAACAUCGCCGUCACCAAGGGACUCCUCUUCCCCAACGUCGGCCACAAGUGCCUCAUGGCAAAGGACGGCAAAAGGAAGAAGGUUAAAUCUAAAUCCUCCACUAAAUAUGAAUCCUCUAUUGAUGAUAAUGCUAGUGAUGAGGAAAAUAAUUUGCACCCUUUUUGCCGACCUAAACAUGCAACAAAAGGAAAAAUUAAAUGAGUUGAUUAGUGCUAUUCAUGAGAAGGAUGAUCUCUUGGACUCUCAAGAGGACUUCCUUAUUAAGGAAAACAAAAAGCAUGUUAAGGUCAAAAAUGCUUAUGCUCUACAAGUUGAAAAAUGUGAAAAAUUGUCUAGUGAGCUAAGCACUUGCCAUGAGACUAUUGACAACCUUAGAAAUGAAAAUACUAGAUUAAUUGCUAAGGUUGAUUCUCAUGUAUGUAAUGUCUCAAUUCGCAAUCUUAGAAAUGAUAAUGAUGAUUUGCUUGCUAAAAUUAAGGAAUUGAAUGAUUCUCUUGAUAGCCAUAGAGUAGAAAAUGAAAAUUUGAUUGCUAAGGCUAAAGAUUUUGAUGUUUGCAAUACUACUAUUUCCGACCUUAGAACUAAGAAUGAUAUGUUGCAUGCUAAGGUUGUAGAACUAAAAUCUUGCAAACCCUCUACAUCUACCGUUGAGCACACUUCUAUUUGUACUAGAUGUAGAGAUGUUGAUAUCGAUGCUAUUCAUGAUCACAUGGCUUUAAUUAAACAACAAAAUGAUCAUAUAGCGUUAUUAGAUGCUAAAAUUGCCGAGCAUAACUUAGAAAAUGAAAAGUUUAAAUUUGCUAGAAGUAUGCUCUAUAAUGGGAGACGCCCUGGCAUCAAGGAUGGUAUUGGCUUCCAAAGGGGAGACAAUAUCAAACUUAAUGCUAAGAACUUGUCUAACUUUGUUAAGGGCAAGGCUCCCAUGCCUCAGGAUAACGAGGGUUACAUUUUGUACCCUGCCGGCUAUCCCGAGAACAAAAUUAGGAGAGUUCAUUCUAGGAAGUCUCACUCUGGCCCUAACCAUGCUUUUAUGUAUAAGGGUGAGACAUCUAGCUCUAGGCAACCAACCCGUGCUAAGUUGCCUAAAAAGAAAACUCCUAGUGCAUCAAAUGAUCAUGACAUUUUAUUUAAGACUUUUGAUGCAUCUUAUGUGCUUACUAACAAAUCCGGCAAGGUAGUUGCCAAGUUUGUUGGGGGCAAACACAAGGGGUCAAAGACUUGUGUUUGGGUACCCAAAGUUCUUAUUUCUAAUGCCAAAGGACCCAAGACCGUUUGGGUACCUAAAAUCAAGAACUAAAAUUGUUUUGUAGGUUUAUGCAUCCGGGGUCUCAAGCUGGAUACUCGACAGCGGGUGCACAAACCAUAUGACAGGGGAGAAGAAGAUGUUCUCCUCAUAUGAGAAAAACCAAGAUCCCCAACGAGCUAUCACAUUCGGGGAUGGAAAUCAAGGUUUGGUCAAAGGAUUGGGUAAAAUUGCUAUAUCACCUGACCAUACUAUUUCCAAUGUUUUUCUUGUAGAUUCUUUAGAUUACAAUUUGCUUUCUGUAUCUCAAUUAUGUCAAAUGGGCUACAACUGUCUCUUUACUGAUGUAGGUGUCACUGUCUUUAGAAGAAGUGAUGAUUCGAUAGCAUUUAAGGGAGUGUUAGAGGGUCAGCUAUACUUGGUAGAUUUUGAUAGAGCUGAACUCGACACUUGCUUAAUUGCUAAGACUAACUUAGGUUGGCUCUGGCACCGCUGACUAGCCCAUGUUGGAAUGAAGAAUCUUCAUAAGCUUCUAAAGGGAGAACACAUUUUAGGACUAACAAAUGUUCAUUUUGAGAAAGACAGGAUUUGUAGCGCAUGCCAAGCCGGGAAGCAAGUUGGCACUCAUCAUCCACACAAGAACAUCAUGACAAGUGACAGACCACUGGAGCUCCUACACAUGGAUUUAUUCGGCCCGAUCGCUUACAUAAGCAUCGGCGGGAGUAAGUACUGUCUAGUUAUUAUGGAUGAUUAUUCUCGCUUCACUUGGGUGUUCUUUUUGCAGGAAAAAUCUCAAACCCAAGAAACCUUAAAGGGAUUCUUGAGACGGGCUCAAAAUGAGUUCGGCUUAAGGAUCAAGAAAAUCAGAAGCGACAACGGGACGGAGUUCAAGAACUCUCAAAUCGAAGGCUUCCUUGAGGAAGAGGGCAUCAAGCAUGAGUUCUUUUCUCCCUACACGCCACAACAAAAUGGUGUAGUGGAGAGGAAGAAUCGAACUCUAUUGGACAUGGCAAGGACCAUGCUUGAUGAGUACAAGACUUCGGAUCGGUUUUAGGCCGAGGCGGUCAACACCGCCUGUUACGCCAUCAACCGGUUAUAUCUUCACCGAAUCCUCAAGAAGACAUCGUAUGAACUCCUAACCGGUAAAAAGCCCAAUAUUUCAUAUUUUAGAGUCUUUGGUAGCAAAUGCUUUAUUCUUGUUAAAAGAGGUAGAAAAUCAAAAUUUGCUCCUAAGACUGUAGAAGGCUUUUUACUAGGAUAUGAUUCAAACACAAGGGCAUAUAGAGUCUUUAACAAGUUCUCUGGACAAGUUGAAGUUUCUUGUGACGUUGUGUUUGAUGAGACUAACGGCUCUCAAGUAGAGCAAGUUGAUCUUGAUGAGAUAGGUAAUGAAGAGGCUCCAUGCAUCGCGCUAAGGAACAUGUCCCUUAGGGAUGUGUGUCCUAAGGAAUCCGAAGAGCCUCCAAAUGAACAAGAUCAACCAUCCUCCUCCACGCAAGCAUCUCCACCGACUCAAAAUGAGGAUGAAGCUCAAGUUGAUGAAAUAGAAGAUCAAGCAAAUGAGCCACCUCAAGAUGACAACAAUGAUCAAGGGGGAGAUGCAAAUGAUCAAGACAAGGAGGAUGAAGAACAAAGGCCGCCACACCCAAGAGUCCACCAAGCAAUUCAACGAGAUCACCCCGUCGACACCAUCCUCGGCGACAUUCAUAAGGGGGUAACCACUAGAUCUCGGGUUGCACAUUUUUGUGAGCAUUACUCUUUUGUUUCCUCUAUUGAGCCACACAGGGUAGAGGAAGCACUUCAAGAUUCGGAUUGGGUGGUGGCGAUGCAAGAGGAGCUCAACAACUUCACUAGGAAUGAGGGUAUGGCAUUUGGUUCCACGUCCUAAUCAAAAUGUUGUAGGAACCAAGUGGGUCUUCCGCAACAAACAAGACGAGCAUGGUGUGGUGACAAGGAACAAAGCUCGACUUGUGGCUAAGGGAUACUCCCAAGUCGAAGGUUUGGAUUUCGGUGAAACCUAUGCACCCGUAGCUAGGCUUGAGUCAAUUCGUAUAUUAUUGGCCUAUGCUACUAACCAUGGCUUCAAGCUUUAUCAAAUGGACGUGAAAAGUGCCUUCCUCAACGGACCAAUCAAGGAAGAGGUCUAUGUUGAGCAACCUCCCGGCUUUGAAGAUAGUGAGUACCCUAACCAUGUGUAUAAACUCUCUAAGGCGCUUUAUGGGCUCAAGCAAGCCCCAAGAGCAUGGUAUGAAUGCCUUAGAGAUUUCCUUAUUGCAAAUGGAUUCAAAGUCGGAAAAGCCGAUCCUACACUCUUUACCAAAACACUUGAAAAUGAUUUGUUUGUAUGCCAAAUUUAUGUUGAUGAUAUCAUAUUUGGGUCUACUAACGAAUCUACAUGUGAAGAGUUUAGUAGGAUCAUGACACAGAAAUUUGAGAUGUCUAUGAUGGGGGAGUUGAAGUACUUCUUAGGAUUUCAAGUGAAGCAACUCCAAGAGGGCACCUUCAUCAGCCAAACGAAGUAUACUCAAGACAUUCUAAACAAGUUUGGGAUGAAGGACGCCAAACCCAUCAAGACACCCAUGGGAACCAAUGGGCAUCUCGACCUCGACACGGGAGGUAAAUCCGUCGAUCAAAAGGUAUACCGGUCGAUGAUAGGCUCAUUACUCUAUUUAUGUGCAUCUCGACCGGACAUUAUGCUUUCCAUAUGCAUGUGUGCAAGGUUCCAAGCCGACCCUAAGGAAGCUCACCUUACGGCCGUAAAACGAAUCUUGAGAUAUUUGGCUUACACUCCUAAGUUUGGGCUUUGGUAUCCUAAGGGAUCCACAUUUGAUUUGAUUGGUUAUUCGGAUGCCGAUUGGGCGGGGUGUAAGAUUAAUAGAAAGAGCACAUCGGGGACUUGCCAGUUCUUGGGGAGAUCCUUGGUGUCUUGGGCCUCAAAGAAGCAAAAUUCGGUAGCUCUUUCUACCGUCGAAGCCGAGUAUAUUGCCGCAGGCCACUGUUGCACGCAAUUACUUUGGAUGAGGCAAACCCUGCGGGACUACGGUUACAAAUUAACCAAAGUUCCUUUGCUAUGUGAUAAUGAGAGUGCAAUCAAAAUGGCGGAUAAUCCCGUCGAGCAUAGCCGCACUAAACACAUAGCCAUUCGGUAUCAUUUUCUUAGGGAUCACCAACAAAAGGGAGAUAUCGAGAUUUCAUACAUUAAUACUAAAGAUCAAUUAGCCGAUAUCUUUACCAAGCCACUAGAUGAACAAACUUUUAACAAACUUAGGCAUGAGCUAAAUAUUCUUGAUUCUAGGAACUUCUUUUGUUGAUUUGCACACAUAGCUCUUUUAUAUACCUUUAAUCAUGUAUCCUUCAUAUGCUAUGACUAAUGCGUUUUCAAGUCUAUUUCAAACCAAGUCAUAGGUGUAUUGAAAGGAAAUUGGAGUCUUCGGCGAAGACAAAGGCUUCCACUCCGCAACUCAUCCCUCGCCCUCACUCCGAGCAUCACUCCGUCUUUGGUAUAAUCUUCACUCCCUUAUUUAUGACCAAAGGGGGAAAGAGUAAUUCUAAGGGCUCUAAUGACUCCGUUUUUGGCGAUUCAUGCCAAAGGGGAGAAAGUAUUAGCCCAAAGCAAAAGGACCGCACCACCACCUAAAUUUAAAAUGAUUUUCAAUUGGAAAUUUCAAAUUGGUAUCUUAUUAUGUUCAAAAGGGGGAGAAAGUAGUAUUUCAAAAUUGAUAUAUCAAAACCCUCUUGAACACUAAGAGGAGAAUUUCAUUUAGGGGGAGUUUUGUUUAGUCAAGGGAAAAGCAUUUGAAACAGGGGGAGAAUUUCAAAUCUUGAAAAUGCUUCUCGAAAUCUUAUUCAAUUACCUUUGACUAUUUGCAAAAGGACUUUGAAAAGGAUUUACAAAAGAAUUUGCAAAAACAAAACAAGUGGUGCAAGCGUGGUCCAAAAUGUUAAAAAUAAAGAAACAAUCCAUGCAUACUUUAUGGGUAUUUAUAUUGACUCAAUUCCAAGCAACCUUUACACUGACAUUAUGCAAACUAGUUCAAUUAUGCACUUCUAUACUUGCUUUGGUUUGUGUUGGCAUCAAUCACCAAAAAGGGGGAGAUUGAAAGGGAAUUAGGCUUACACCUAGUUCCUAAUUAAUUUUGGUGGUUGAAUUGCCCAACACAAAUAUUUGGACUAACCAGUUUGCUCUAGAUUAUAUGUUCUACAGGUGUCAAAGGUUCAUCUACAACUAUACUAAAUCGACUGUCCGGAAUACCGUAGAUUAUUCCGGACAGGAGAAGCUUUUUGGAAAAACAGGCCAAGCGCGGACCGUCCGGGCCCUUGCGGCGGACCAUCCGCGACACAAGGAUGACCCUCGGAUAGAACCAAUGCAAAAAUCCGAGUUUGCACUAUGGACCGUCCGAAAGAUAAGCGCGGACCAUCUGGGACCUCGCUCGGACCGUCCGGCCUCAGGCGCGGACCGUCCGGUAGGCAAGGAUCCGAAAAACCCGAAGGUGACGGGUUCGGAAGAAUGAAUUAUAGCGGCCUCGCGGACCGUCCGGGGUGCACGACCGGACCGUCCGCGACUGGGUCUGUCUGACAUCUGAUGACGCAUUAAAUGCAAUAUAGCCGUUGAUAUAGCCGUUAUUGCUGACCGUUGCGUUUUCAGCCGUUGAUCUACAGGCGCGGACCGUCCGGACCAGACGGGCGGAUCGUCCGCGGUCGGCAGAAUGGAGCAACGGCUAGGAAGUGGUUGGUGGCUAUAAAUACAACCCCAACCACCUCCAUUCACUUCACCCAAACAUUCCAACCUUCAACAUUCAAUACAAGAGCUAGCAAUCCAUUCCAAGACACAUUCAAAGCCUCCAUCUCUCCAAGUUUCACAAUUGAGAAAAGAUAUCAUUAGUGAUUAGUGACUUGAGAGAGAAAGUGAUCCGUGUGUUAUUUGUCGCUCUUGUCGCUUGGCUUUUGCAAUCGUGCUUUCUUUCAAUCUUCAUUGCGAUCAAACUCACUUGUAAUUGAGGCAAGAGACACCAAUCUUGUGGUGGUCCUUGUGGGAACUUUGUGUUCCAAGCAUUUGAGAAGAGAAAGCUCACUCGGUCCGAGGGACCGUUUGAGAGAGGGAAAGGGUUGAAAAAGACCCGGCCUUUGUGGCCUCCUCAACGGGGAGUAGGUUUGCGAGAACCGAACCUCGGUAAAACAAAUCCUUGUGUCUCACUUCCAUAUUCGCUUGCGAUUUGUUUUGCACCCUCUCUCGCGGACUCAAUUAUAUUUCUAACGCUAACCCGGCUUGUAGUUGUGAUUAAUUUUGUAAAUUUCAGUUUCACCCUAUUCACCCCCCUCUAGGCGACUUUCAAAUAGCAUCAACAUUAAUAUCUCUACAUCUAGUGCAAAUAGAAAUAUGUUCAACAGUAGAAGUAGAGUGUUUGCAAGAUCUUAAUUCCUCUAUCUUAGCAUAUAAAGUAGAAUUCUCAUUUCUAAGACAGGAAAUAGAAUCAUCACAAACAUUCAAAUCCUUAGCCUUAUAAAUUAAUUUGUAAUUUUCAAUUUGAAGGCUAGAGAGUGAUUCAUUCAAUUUAUUAAUGUUAGCAGUUAAACUAGCAUUAUCAUUUUUAAGAUUGGCAAUCAAAUCAUCACAAACACUUAACUUCUCAACCUUAGUAUUCAAAUUAGCAUUCUCAAUUCUAAGGUUGGAGACAGUGUCAUGGCAAAUGCUAAGCUCCUUAGUCAAAUUUUCAUUUCUUUCUACUUCCUAAGCAUAAGCAUUUUUUACCUUAACAUGCUUUUUAUUUUCCUUAAUAAGGAAUUCCUCUUGGCUAUCCAAGAGUUCAUCCUUCUCAUGAAUAGCACCUAUCAAUUCAUUUAGUUUUUCCUUUUGUUGCAUGUUUAGGUUGGCAAAAAAAGCAAGCAAAUCAUCUUCAUCAUCACUAGAGCUACCCUCAUCACUAGAUAUUGUAUAUUUAGUGGAGGCUCUAGAUUUUACCUUCUUAUUUUUGCCGUCCUUUGCCAUGAGGCACUUGUGACCGACGUUGGGGAAGAGAAGUCCCUUGUUGACGGCGAUGUUGGCGGCAUCCUCGUCGGAGGAGUCGAUGGAGCUCUCGUCGGAGUCCCAUUCCUGACACACGUGGGCAUCGUCGCCCUUCUUCUUGUAGUACUUCUUCUUUUCCUUCUUCUUCCCUCUCUUGUUGUCGCCCCUGUCACUAGAAAUAGGACAUUUUGCUAUAAAGUGACCGGGCUUACCACACUUGUAGCACACCUUCUUGGAGCGGGGUUUGUAGUCUCUCCCCUUCCUUUGCUUGAGGAUUUGGCGAAAGCUCUUGAUGAUGAGUGCCAUUUCCUCGUUGUCGAUCUUGGAGGCGUCGAUGGGGAGCCUACUUGAUGUAGACUCUUCUUUCUUUUCCUCCGUCGCUUUGAAUGCGACGGGUUGCACCUCGGGUCUGGAGGUGCCGCCUUGCUCGAUAAUUUGUUUGGAGCCUUUGAUCAUCAACUCAAAGCUCACAAACUUUCCUACCACUUCCUCGGGAGACAUUAGCUUAUAUCUAGGAUCACCAAGAAUUAAUUGUACUUGUGUAGGAUUACAAAAAACAAGUGAUCUUAGAAUAACCUUGACCAUUUCAUGAUCAUACCAUUUGGUGCUCCCGAGGUUGCGCACUUGGUUGACCAAGGUCUUGAGCCGGUUGUACAUUGCUUGUGGCUCCUCUCCUUGGUUGAGGAUGAAUCGACCGAGCUCCCCCUCGAUCGUCUCCCGCUUGGUGAUCUUGGUCACCUCAUCCCCUUCAUGCACGGUCUUUAGUACAUCCCAAAUCUCCUUGGCACUUUUUAGCCCUUGCACCUUGUUAUACUCCUCUCGACAUAGAGAGGCGAGGAGUAUAGUGGUGGCUUGGGAGUCAAAAUGUUGGAUUUGGGCGACCUCGUCUGAAUCAUAUCCUUCAUCCCCCACGGAUGGUACCUGCGCUCCAAACUCAACAAUGUCCCAAAUGCUAGCGUGGAGUGAGGUUAGAUGAUGCCUCAUUUUAUCACUCCACAUACAAUAAUCUUCACUGUCAAAAACCGGUGGUUUGCCUAAUGGGACGGAAAGUAAAGGAGUGCGAUUAGAAAUGCGGGAAUAGCAUAGGGGAAUCUUACUAAACUUCUUGCGCUCAUGGCGCUUAGAAGUGACGGACAGAGCGUCAGAGCCGGAGGUGAAGGGAGACAAAGAAUCGGUCUCGUAGUAGACCACUUUCUUCAUCUUCUUCUUAUCGCCACUCUGGUGCGACUUGACGCGGGGAGGCGAUUCCUCCCUUCCUUUGGCACCGGACUCCUUGAUGGAGCCUUCCCGUGGCUUGUGGCCAUUUCCAUCUCCCUCUUGGCGGAUCCUCCUGACAUCACUUCGAGUUGUUAGACUCUAAUGAAGUACCAGGCUCUAAUACCAAUUGAAAGUCGCCUAGAGGGGGGGGUGAAUAGGCGGAAACUGAAAUUUACAACUUUAAACUCAACUACAAGCCGGGGUUAGCGUUAGAAAUAAAAUCAAAGUCCGAAAGAGAGGGUGAAAACAAAUCACAAGCAAAUGAAGCGGAUGACACGGUGAUUUGUUUUACCGAGGUUCGGUUCUUGAGAACCUACUCCCCGUUGAGGUGGACACAAAGACCGGGUCUCUUUCAACCCUUUCCCUCUCUCAAAUGGUCUCCUAGACCGAGUGAGCUUUCUCCUUAAUCAAACGGGUCACUUAGACCCCUCACAAGGACCACCACAACUUGGUGUCUCUUGCUUUGAUUACAAGUGUCUUGAGAACAAGAAAGAGGAAGAAGAAAACGAUCCAAGAACAAGAGCUCAAAGAACACAAGAAAAACUCUCUCUAGUCACUAUUUGUUCAUAGUGGAUUUGGACUUGGAGAGGCUUUGAUUCUAUUGAAUUGUGUCUUGUAUUGAUUGCACUACCUCUUGUAUUGAAUGAGAUGUCUAAAAAACUUGGAUGCUUGAAGUGGUGGUGGUUGGGGGGUAUUUAUAGCCCCAACCACCAAACCAACCGUUGGGGAGGCUGUCUGUCGAUGGGUGCACCAGACGGUCCGGUGCGCGACCGGACACUGUCCGGUGCGCCAGCCACGUCACCCAAUCGUUAGGGUUCUGACGGUUUCCACCGUUGGAGCUCUGACUUCUUGGCGGACAGGCAUUGUUCACUGUCCGGUGCGCCUUCUGGCGCUGCUCUGACACUGCGCGAACUGUCCGUGCACUGUUCACGCUGCAGGCGACCGUUGGAGUCGACCGUUGCGCUUCUUAGCCGUUGGACCACUGGCACACCGGAUAGUCCGGUGAAUUAUAGUGGAGCGGCUCUCCAAAAACCCGAAGGUGAAGAGUUUGACCUGUACGGUCCCUGGUGCACCGGACACUGUCCGGUGGCACAUCGGACAGUCCGGUGCGCCAGACCAGGGUUCUCUUCGGUUUCUUUUGCUCCUUUCUUUUGAACCCUAAUUUUGAUCUUUUUAUUGGUUUGUGUUGAACCUUUAGCAUAUGUAGAACAUAUAAUCUAGAGCAAACUAGUUAGUCCAAUUAUUUGUGUUGGGCAUUUCAACCACCAAAAUCCUUUAGGAAAAGGUUUGACCAUAUUUCCCUUUCAGGCCCCACCCUCAAGGUGGUUUGAGAUGGUAAGACCCCAUAGCAGAGUCAUCAAUAUGCAUGGUUAGGGCCCCUGCCACACGACAAGCAUAAGGGAGGUGAAAGGCAAAUGUGCCAUAGGGCCAUUUCUACCUAUUUUGAUGAUUAAGUGUCCAACACACCACAUCUUCGAAUUCUCAUACGGGUUGUACAAACUAUACUGGCUAGGAAUCUAGGAUCAUCCCUUUCAAGCUAGAUGUACGACUAUAGGACCUCGGAUAGACAUCGAGAGUUCGGUGUGCACAGGACUAGUUUACUAGAGAAGAUGUCUUCAGAGAAGAAGAAGAAGAGAAGAAGUAGUUGGCACACCGAGCCCAUAGCAAACCCAAGAGUCAGAUGGGAAGGACCAACGAUUUGUUAAGUGGCACCUACAUGGUAAGUCCGGUGUACCCUGACAACUUUCUUAUAACGACUACUAACGGGAUAUGUAAGGAAAAUGGACCCCGGGCCAUUUGGCUUAAUAGAUUUUGGUGUUUGAUGAUCAACAUAACCUGUGGACUAACGUGUUUACUAGUGUUUGUGUUUGUAGUUCACAGGAUGCUAAAGUUACUUGGACCAAGACAUUGAGGAAAGCAACACCUCAAAAGAAGACAUUAUGAAGAUCAAGUGAAGUCCAAGAAACAAAGGAAUUGUUGCCUAUGGACUGUCUGGUCUGGAGCACCGGACCGUCCGGUGGCACACCAGACUGUCCGGUGCACCAGGAAACAGUAGCCCAACGGCUAGUUCCAGGUGGCAAUGUGGAGAGAAGACCACCAGACUAUCUGGUGUGACAUCCGCAGUGUCUGGUGUAAAAAGCCUACGCGCCAACGGUCGCCUGUGGUGUCAGACCAACGGCUAGGCGCACCGGAUAGUGAACAGUGCACUGUCAGGUGCACCACCGGACUGUUCGGUGUUCCACAGAGAGCAGUAGCUUUUCUCCAACAGCUAGCUUUGAGUUGGGGGCUAUAAAUACACCCCAACCGACCAUUCCAAGGUGUGGGAGCCCAAGCAACAUACCAAGGCAUAGUAUAGACAUUUUCAAGUGCUCAUACACCCAAGUGCUUAAUAGAAUCACUCGGUGAUUAGCGUAGGUUCUUUGCGAAGUGCUUAGGUUAGUUAGACCACUUUAGCACUUGCUCUAGGUGAACCCUAGUUAGUUGAGUGUGUUUUGUAAAACCACACAACCCCUCGGCUCUUGCGUGAGCCAUUGUAAUUGUACCGAGUGGGGCGAGAGUCUUGCGAGACCGUGACAAUCGAGUUUGUGUCACGGCCGCCAUCGUGUACCGGAGGGAAUGAGGCCCGCGACAUUUUCGGCCGGAAGCUCGAUAGUGGAGACGGCAGGGAGUGUCCGAGAGGAGCCGAAAGCGGAGCACCACUUGCGCAUGGAGAAGGCCUGUGGCUCUCUACGAAGUUACUCGACCAAGGUGCUUGGCCCUCGCGUGGGCUUCCCUUUGCGUAGGGGCACCAACGAGGAUUAGUUGGAACCUUGCGUGGUUCCGGAUACCUCGGUAAAAAUACCGGCGUCAUUCACGAGAGUUUGCAUCUCUACCUUGCUCUUUAGCUUCUGUAUUUAUAUUAAGCAUUUAAGUUUCAAUCUUGUCCUUAUACUUAUAUUGUGUUAGAUUGAAACUUAGCCAUUGCGGUAGAGAUAGCAACACUUAGACAAAACCUAGUUUGCACAUUCUAGUUUGAUUAAUUGCAUAGGUUUUGCUAUAGAGAUUUAUUUGUGGCCUAGUUUAGUGAAAGUUUUAGAAGUCCUAAUUCACCCCCCUCUUAGGCGUCACAUGUUUCCUUCAAUUGGUCUGGUGUGCAUCGGACCAAGCACUAUUUGAGGUUUGGUGCACCUAUAUGAGGCCUUGAGGCCUUGAUGAUAGGUGAGGCAUUCCAACGGCUAUGUGAGGCGUUGAGGCCUAUAUAUAUGACCCCAACUAGUGUGUUACACAUCCAAGAGCUGAUCAAACAAGUCAUAUGCAUAGAGAAACACAUUAAAGUUAUUACAAGUGCCAUAAUUGAGUAGAGAAGCUAGUGAUAAUAUUGCCUUGUGAGAGGAAGACUAGUGCACUUGAGGGGGCUGGAUUGUGGAGUUGUGUUGGGAUCAUUAAGCUUUAGAGUUGAGACUCCAUUGAUUUGUAAAGCGAUUAAGAGCCUCUAAGUUGUGGAGUGCCUUGCGAGACUCGGUCUCGCUUGAGAAAAGAAAAGAUGAACUCAAGUUUGAUCUUUGUGAUCACUUGAGCGAGGAAAGGGUUGAGAGAAACCCGGUCCUCAAUGGACUCCUCAACAAAGAUGUAGGUUUCUUUGUGAAAUCGAACUCUUGUAACAAAUUGUCGUGUGUUUCUUCCUUUUGUCUUGCAAUUUGUUCUUAAUCUUUCCUCCCUAUUCUUAUGCUUAUUUGCACUAAAAUUCUAUUCCAUUGUGUUGCUAAGUCCAAUUCCGCAUUUAUACUUACUAGCAACCUUGUGCAAGUAUUGUGCUCAACUACUCAUACUAACCCGGACUAGCACAUCUUGUUCUAAAGCUUAAUAUCAUAAUCUCGGAUCGAGUUUGGAUUAUUUUGAAUUAAAUUUCCAGUGUCUCUUAUUCACCCCUAGCUAGGCGACUAUUAAUACACCUUUGUGCCCCGACUAACAAACGACAUUAAUGUCUAUGAGGUCAUGACAUUAAGAGCCUAACACACAAAGAGUUUUAUAGAUACUCGUGUCAUAUUGUGUGCAAUACUCUACAUCCUUUUAUUGUUCAUAAAUUGUUGUGGAUGAUACACAAGGUUAUAAGCUUCAAUACAACGAGCUACUAUCCCUCCUCAUUGAGUAGUGGGUGAGAUAAGCUAGACUAACUCUAAUUGUCGUUGGCUUGACUAGAUUGAAUUAACUAUUUUGGCUUAGGUUUGGUAGGUCUCGAAGUGGUUUCUUGUGGCAUACUCCCCUUUUACUUGAACCUUUAAUCGAAUGUUGCUCUACCAUGACUUUUAUAGUCCAAAGGAGUGGAAGUUUUAUAUGUAUAUAGUACUUGUAAAUUCUACCUAUUAUUAUCGAGUCAAAGCACGUCCUGUUUUGAGCUUAUGAUCAUGUGACCUGCAACAUGUAUGUUUUGACGAAACCAUUCAUAUGAAAGAGUGUAGUUAGGGAUGAGCUGCCACAGUGAGGACAACAAUUACUAUAUAUUUUAUUAUAUAUUAGACUAUACUCCACAAAUCGUAUAUGACCGUGCAAAUAGCCUUAAAAUCAUCGUACUGUCUCACCCGGAUUUAACGGGUAAAGCCGGGUGCAUCUCAUAUGUGCGCCAAAGAAGAACAUCACAUAUAAUGACAAAAUGUAUAGAGAUAAAUGUCACAAGUGUCAUUAUUACAUAGCGGAAGUCUUACAAAAAUGAUAACAAUAAAGAAAAAUAAAUAUUAUUCAUUGGUGCCAUAAAGCUGACUCGGAGACGCUACCUAGAUGAGCUCGUACUCCUCGUUGUAAGGCUACUCCUGGACCACCUGUUCUUCUCCUAUGGGGGGUUUAUAUAUCGCAAGGGUGAGCUCACAAAAGAUCAUAGCUCAACAAGUUGUGAGGAAUAAUGUGCAUGAACUCACCAAAGGUGGGAGUUCAGGUGAAGUGUAAGGUUGAUCAAUAAAUAAGGGUUAAAGCUGAGCAUCACUUUUAAUAAGUGGGUCCAAUUUUAUUAGCGGUUACUAAGUGUAAGUAGAUACCAAACGAGAGUAAUACUAGAUCAAAAUUAAUAAUAAACCACAAUGCGAUGAAAAUGACAAAUUGAAUUUAAUUCCAUAAAUUAAUCAUGGGAGAGUCCUGAGCUGCUCAUGACCGCGAGCACGGCUAGUAUAGUAGUUUUACACUCUGCAGAGGUUGUACCCUUUACCCACAAGUAAUGUUACCCAUUUGCCACGAGGUUGUACGGGCCCCAUACACCUCUACCAAGGAAGCGAGACAGGGUAACACUACAAGGCCUUUACAAAGUUUCACUAGCUUCAGAAAAUCCACUACAGUUUCUAGGGAGCGUAAUGCAGGAAUCCCCCGUCUGACCGCCAUCGCAGCAAAAUCAACCCGAGAACCUCCCUACACGCCAACUCCCCUACUCCCCUUGCCCCUUUCGGGUAAGGUAGACCUCCACUAGCUUUCCUAAUUAGUCAGCCAAGGGCGUCCAAUUCCACCCUUGUGGUGGCACGUGUUUCUCAAGUUAAGCUCCAUGUUCCAAUUAACUAAUAGUCUUAUCAUGAACAGAAAUAGAACAACAAUAAUAAAGAAUGACCAUGUGUAAUAGUUAUUUCAACACCCAAAACCAUAUAUAGCAAUAGCAAAGACUACCCAAAAGUUCAGGGGUAAACAAGGUGUAAAGAUUACCAGACUAGGGUGACCUAUUGGGUCCCAUCAAAAUUAAGCCUAUGCAUGCCAAAAUGAUUAUAGAGAACAUUAUUGGGUAAAUAAAAGUGGUCAAGGGCACAACUUGCCUUCAAUGAGCUCCUGCUCAGCAACUUCUACCUGCUGAACACCUGUGAAAGCUCUCUUGUGGGUUUUGGUGGUUUGGAUGACAACCCAAUUAAAGACUAACAAGUGUGCUAAGUGUUGAACAUGUGCUUAAUGCAAAGCUAACAUGGUUCAACACAAGUGAACAAGUGUGAUGGUCCAAAGACUGGAAUAUCUAUAGAUAAUGGGCAUCACAAGUAAGAUGGACAUUGCUUAAGUGAGACUCGGUGUGCGUAACUCAGAGACAACCGAUCAAGCCAAGGAUGGAGUCAAGAAGAGCUUCGAGGUACCGAGUGCACGGGAGAAGGUCAAGUAGACCAGGAACCCAAAGCCAGGGGUGAAGAAAAAGACUUGCAAAGUCAAGGUUGAUCAAGUUAAGAAGAGUUAUGGUGCAUAAAGGAUCACUACAUAAGGACAUGACUUACAACCAAUGAGGUAACAUCUACAGUUAUGUGGUGUAAGUCAUAGGGCUCAAGAUCAAGCUCGAGAAGUGAACAAGGUCACUAGAAGGAGCAGUGUUAAAACCAGAACUGGAAGCAGCCCAAAAGAGCUAAGUUUACUUUGAUCUUUUGUUUGGGUUGUUACUAUGCUUGGGUAUAUUCUAUGUGACCUUUGUAGGUUGUUGGAGCUCAGAUAUGUCAAUCUAGAUCAAGUCAAGUUGACUUGAUGGUGUAGAGUCCAACAUCGACCUCAAAUAGGUCAAAUCGGAGAAAGUGCCAUUUUGAGCUCUACUUGAGGAGAAACAGAAAAGCUAGGAGAAGAACGAGAAAGAGGUAAGUUUCUAGGACUAAGUCAAUUGGAUUAUACUCUAAAUGUAUUUGUUUAAGUCUCAGGAAAAUCCUCCCAAAAGUUGAAGUCAAAUGGAGAAAGAAUGGAGGAAAAAGUACUUAGUGUGCUGUUGGCUGGUGCACAGGACAGUGAAUAGUAACUGUCCGGUGCACAGGACAGUGAAUAGUAAUAUGUCUGGUGCACAGGACAAUGAAUAGUAACAUACCAGGUGCACAUGUUAGUGAAUAGUUACCUGUUCGGUGCACAUGGCAGUGAAUAGUAACAUGUCCGGUGCACAGGACAAUGAACAUUUACUUGUCCUAUGCAUAGGACAGUGAAUAGUUACCUGUCCGCUGCAUAGGAUAGUGAAUAGUAACAUGUCUGGUGUACCAACGGCUAGCUCUUCCACAGAAGGAAACUAUCAAUCAGAUCCGUUACUGUGCACUAUCCGGUGGCGCACCGGACAGUCCGGUGCACCCGCAAACAGGGAAGACUGAGAGCUUCCAAAUGAAGCCCCAACGGCUCCUAGGCCCCUUGGGACUAUAAAAGGGACCCCUAGGCGCCUCCAACAAGGGUACAAGAGCAGCCAACAAGUCCAUACAUCAUUUGGAUCAAUUAUUUCUCUCUCUCUUGUGUAUCUCUCUAGUUUGUGUAGAGGCGAAGUUAUAAGCCUUUAGAGAGAGGGGAAGUGCUGCUGAGAGCUAGAGCAAAAUCUUGGGCGCAUUGUUACUCUGUCGGAGUGCUGUCGAGAAGAUUGUAGGCAACUAUGAGUCCACGACAUCGUUGUAACUGAUAUCAACAUAGUGGAAGGCUCUAUCUGUCUCACUGACAGAUAUGAGCAAAACGAGGAAGGAGUUGAAAUAGAGUCCAAUCUAAUGUGUGGCUAACUCCAACGAGGACUAGGCAAGCAUUUCAGGCUUGGCCGAACCUCGAGAUAAAUCCCUGUGUCUGUGUGCUCUGCUCUGUGCUGUGUGAUGUUUCUCUGUCUUAUUUGUUGUUUAUACUUGCACUUCAAUACUUAUACGUGGUACAAGCUGUCUUCGAAGUGUAGGGUAUUUUAAGACAGGAACUUCAAUUCCGCUGCAACCUACUCGAAUGGUCUUUCAUUCCACUGCGAUUCAACCUUCGAGUAGAGUAAGAAUUUUUAGUUUUAAAGUGAUAAUUAUUAUUCACCUAUUCACCCCCUCUAGGCGACAUCCAGAUCCCGUUCCCGGGCAUAGGGAACUUUCAACCUGGAUCCUCAAUCACUUGCUCGUCUACUCGCCAUAAUACAAACAAACAUGGUUCAAGGGAAACUAAUCAUCACACCAAACAGAGGAACAUAAUGCAUGAUAAUAUUCUACGCAUCGCAACGAGAUCGUAGGAACAAGAAUCACUAAAUUCGGAGUUACAAAUUACAAGUUAUGAUUUUCCGAAGGUUUUAUGUGUUUGGUACAAAAAUAACCAAGUGAUUAAUCUUAAUAUAGGUUUCAUGCUAAAACAGAGUUACCAAGUGAUAAACAAUAUUAAUACCAAAUUAUAGCAACUGGAAUGGGUUAAAAGGAACUAAAAUGAUUUUUCUAGGAAUUAAACAAGAUUCUGGAAUUAAUUUUACACUAAAAAAUCGUUUUCUAAAUUAAUUCUUCUGAUUUUUCUAAUGCCCUGUACUGCACGCACUAAUAACAGAAACCUCAGGGUCCGCUUAUAAAUUUACGGGGCACGCUUGUGAUUUUUUUGUAUACGCAGUGGACCGCGUGUUGGUUUAGUUAAAACACAGGGACUCAUAUGCUAAAGCGCACGGCCAAAACGUUAUCCACAGAUCUCAGCCGUCCGAUCUAAUGCCGACGCUCCAGAUUAAAUCAUCACUCUCGCGAACCGGUACGUAAAACCCUAAGUUGGAUCCAAAAUCUACGGCGCGGACCUUACAAGCACCGAAAUCGACCUGAUCCGCCCGAUCGGAUCACAACGGUCCCAAUCCCCCUGCCCAAUCGUUAUGCCAGGAUCAAUUAGAGCCGCUACGAAAAGAUCCAACGGCGCGGAACCAUUUCCCUACCUCUGAUGGAGGCGCACGGCGACGCGCGCCGUUUCACGGUGGACGCCAUCGCCGGGCUCCCGGAAUCAGUGCUCUAGCGUCCUAAACUCGAAUCUAGUGGGUGCUACGCAAUCGUGAGUGAUAAGUGAACAUGACAUAGGGUUUACUCACCGGAGAUGAACACCGAACGACGCUACCCCCGGCGCACGGCGGAUCGGGGCCAAAGCAAUGACUUCGGUGAGCAAUUGACGCGGCAGUAAUGCCCCGAUUCUGCAAUUACGCCCACCCGAGCUUCCGCGAUGACCAACUGACUUCCCAGAGCAAUGAACAGAGGCGAGGCGGCGGCCCCGACUCCCACGGCUCCUGAUUUUCUCGCGGUGAUGGGUAUGCCCUAAGCGUCAAUCGGUCGCAGGGACGCGUCUUGGGGCACUUUAUACUCGGGACGCGUCCACGAUCGCAGGGGAAAACGGAAUAUCCAACGCGGCCUAGAUCCGCGGAGCUGGGCACGGAGCAAUGGACCUGGCGAAGAAGACAGGCGGCGUAACCGUGAGGGCUGGCAAGCGGGCCCCAACGGUUAGUGCGCACGGAACAGGCGGCGCGCGUGGCUGCCUUGUAGGCCCAGGCCAUCAGCACUACUGUGCGGGGGACGCAACGAGCGCGGCGAGUGGAACGAGUGGAUGACGUGUGGGUCUAGGAUGUCGGCGCCGACCCAAGCUCCUGGGCCGCACGGAGAGUGAAGAUGGGCCCAACGCGAGUAGCUUUGGGGCCCGCUGGUUUUGGAAGCUUUUUUUGUUUUGAAUUUCUUUUCUUUUCUCUUUAUCUUUUUGAACCUCAAUUUGAAUUCAAGUUUUGUGGUGGAUUUUUGUAUCUAGAUCAAAUAUACAAACUAAGAAGACCAGUUUGAAAAAGGUUUAUUUAUUUAUGUAUACAUUUUCCUUAUAUUUCAUAAGGUUUCCUUUUCUAUGUUAUUUUUUUCAAUUUUCUAAUUUGCACAUUAGGUCUUAAAUCUCAAUUUGGACCUUAAUGUAUUUCUAUUAUUAUGAUUAUUAUUUUAUUAAAUGCUCACACAAAGAAACCACAACAUGAUGCAUAUAUUAUUUAGAUGUCAUUAGCUAAUUAAUCUCUUUAAAUAUAGUUGUUCACAUGUUAUAAUAAAUAGAGGGCAAAACAUAUAAGAGAAUUAUCUCCUUUCUUAUGAUUUAUAAAUUUGGUUAUUAUACGUACUUGCCAAGCGCCCAAGCAGUAGAGCCACAACGGAGUGUACCACUCACUACGUGUGAGGCCACAUUAUUAUCGACCGGUAUCGACCAUCGCUGUUUGACCUUGCCUAAUCUGACGAUAUACACGUACGUGUUACUCUGGCACGUAGGAGGAGGAUACGCUACGUCUACGUAUUUCCAUAGGAGACGACUGUGCUUGGCGGGGCCGGGUGCGUGUACUGCAACUGUACACAUGCAUGCACGAGCCAAAAAAAAUAUCUCCCCCUACGUCUACGCCUACACUCUCAGGCUGCCGUCGCUACGUACUACGUAUGCUAGCGGAAGCAAGCAGGAGCAGACUACAGCAGCUGCCGUUCCUUGCCCUGCCGCUCUCUCUCCCGUCCCGUCUCGUCGCCCCGCAUAAAUGCAGCGGCGACGGGUUGGUUGGCGCCAUAAAUUACACGCCACCACCGCUCGACCUACCAGCCCUCCUUCCUCAUCCGCCUGCCCUGCCCGUCCCGUCCGUCCACCCCCUUCCCUUCUUUCCCCUUUGCUUGCUGCUGCCUGCUUCUCGCCGUCGCCGCCUCAAUUCCCUCCUCGUUGUCCGUCGCCUCGUCCACGCGCACCUCGUCCUCCUCUCCGUUCCCUCCACCUCCUCGACCGCACCGUCGUCGUCUAGCUAGCGGAGCGAGCUGCGACCAGAUCGGAGAGCCAAGCACCCAGGAA
rnacentral:lncRNA from 1 species